AUAAAAAAAUAUAUUUUAAUAUAUAUAUUUUAACAUUCUUAGUAAUUUUUUUAUAGCAGUAUUAAAAAGAUAAAAUACUUACUCAGAAUUUUUCUUUAUAGAUUAAAUAUUUAUUAAUCAAUAUUUUAUGAUAAGUAAUUUUUAUUAAAAAUAAGCAUCAGCAUUGCCAAAUAGAAUCUACUUAAAAAAAUUUAAAUUAUUUUGCAGGAGAAGAUACAAAAAAACUAUCAUUCGAGAAUAUUAGAUUUUGAAUAGCGAAUAUAUAAAGAUACAAUACAAAUAAAUUAUAAUUUUUUUAUUUAUAGAGGCGGAGUGUAAUAUCAGAAUAGUACGGGGACUACAAUACAAUUUAGCAGAAUUAUUUUCGAGUUAUUUAUGUGAUAUAUAAUUAUUAUUUAUCUAUAAUAUUAUAAUUGAUUAAUUAAACUGUGCUUAUAUUAUAUCUCUCAUUUUAUUUAAGCCCAACUGGCGCGGCCCGAGCGACUCUAAUCGAAAUGACGAAAAUGCCCCUCGUGGGCACUGCCCCCAAGCUCCAACGGUCGGCCACGUAAGCGCCCGAUCAUCGAGGCGAACCGAUCUCGGCCGUCCGAUCAGCCCCCGUUGGAUACCAUUGCGGUGGGGCCCACCGUGGGGGCCCGUUUACGAGUUUUUUUGUAACGUUAGUCCAGCGUGUCACGGCCCAAUAAAGAACUAGUGCGGGGCCCACAUGACAGCGUGAAAUCACUGGCCUCUGGGGCCCACUUCUGAGCGUACAAAGAAUUAAAAAAAUUAUUAUUGUUUAACAAAAUUUCAAACUUAAAAAACUAAAUAAAUAAUAAUUUGACUUAUGUGACGGCGCAAUCUCAUCACCAAUCACGUUUGUUUCGAAUUACACGAAAAAAAAAAAAAACGAUAAAAAAUAAUUUUAUUGUUAUCGUAUUAUCAUAAGGGUGCGUUUGGUUCGCGCUAUCUUUUAAAGAUUCCUAGUAAUCCAAUGGGAAUAAAAAAAUAUGACGGUGUUUGGCUAAGCGCAUUAAGUAAUCUAGUUGGUAAUAUUUGAUUCACUUGGGAAUAAGAUUCACCCCAAAGUACUAAUCUUAUUCCCCUGAGGGAGGGUGGGUAUCCUCAUAUUAAUGGAUUGGGGUAAUCAUAAUAUGUCUAAUCUCUUUCUUUCUUCCUACCCGUCGGCUAAUUGAUAUUAUUUUUCUUUACACUCUAACCUUAUAUCUCUCUCUAAACUUAUUUUUCUCUCUAAAAUUCAACUUUUUUUUUCUCUCUCCCAUCUAAGCUUUCUUUCUCUUUCUCUUUCUAAAAUUUCAACUCUCUCACUCACCUCUAAUUUUGACUAUAUUUUUUUUUCUAUUUUUUUAAUUAUGUCCUCUCUAACUUAUACUCUCUCUUCCUUUUUUCUAAAAAGAUGUUGAAACUUUUGGUAUAAUUAUCUAAAAUUAAUUAAAUAAAUAAAUAAAUUAUAUUGUAUAUUUUUUAUAAUAUUAAAUAACAUGGCUAAUUAAUAUUACGUGGCGAACCAAACCAGGAAUUCCACAUUCUUAAUAAUAAAUGAAUAGGAAUAAAGAUUCUCAGAUAUUUUUUAUUCCUAGUAAUUCUUUUAUAAAUGCGAACCAAACGCACCCUAAAAGUUAACAGUCUCUAACAUAAUUUUGGUAAGAUAUAAUUUUACAAUAUAAAUAAGAAAAUAAAAAAAAGUAUGUUCUGAAAAUAGUUUUUUUUCCUUUAUUAAGCGGCUUUCAAAUUGUUUUUUUUCUCUUUAUAUAUUUGAAAGACAAGAUUUAAAUAGCCAAUAUAUAAAAAAAAUAAGAUUUGAAAAAUUGCAUCAAAAACAGUUCUUAAAAAAAAAAAAAAAAAAGGUGGGGGGCAAAACUUCAAUAGCCCGCAAUGUGGUUUCACACUUUUUUACCUUAAGUAUUUUUAUGUUUAAAAGUGUAUUAAUUUACUAACUUAUGGUUUUUUUUUUUUUUUUUUUCAUCAGCUCCUCCGUUAACACGUCGUUAAAUUAUAUGCAAAAAUUUUAGAUACGUCAUCUAGGUUUGUCGAGUAUUCAUUUUAAUACCUUUUAGUUUUAACUUUAUUGCUGAUUUAAUAAAAAAAAUUAAUCGAAAGGAUAAUAAGUAGAGACAAAUGAAAUCACGAUAUACUAAAUUGAUACAUUUUAAACCACAGGGUAUUAAAAUAAAAAAGUGUGACACCACAUGAGUGAUAUUUGAAGUUUUUCUCCAGAAAAAAUCAACGAACUAGAAAAGGCCAUUGUUCAAGCAUACAGAAUGUUUUAUGUCAUAAAACAUAUAAUAUGAUAAUGCAUAAUAAAUUAGAUUUUGAUUUUAAAGCCUGGAAGGCUGUACAAGAAUCAAGUGCCCACAAAGCGAGAUUCAAAUUUUAGGGUUUUUCUUCUGCAUCUUUCUUCCUCGUGGGUAGCAGGAUAUGCCAUUGAGUUGGAGCUUUCACUCUUAAUUUGUAGUGUUGGUCCCUGGACCACUAGACUUUUGCAGUGCAUAGAUCAAAAUGGAAAAGGAGACGGUCCCUGUCUGCGAGCACGCAUAGGACUAUACGUCAACGCGUCGAACAUGAGCUGGCUCGCUAAAAUAUUAACCUAAAAAUUCUAGCUGGUGUUCGGUUUGUUUAUUAACGAGCCGAACACGAGCUGGCUUGUAAAUAGCAAGUUAGAUUGUCAAUUCUACUACUGGGUGAAAAGUUGAAAAAAAAAAAGAAAUUAGAAUUUUAAUCUAAUGAAUAAAAUUUACAAAAUAUAGGUAUGUUACAUUUGGAUUGGCCUAAAAUCCAAAUAAUAUAAAUUUGUAAUAUAUUCAAGCUUUUUCAGCUCCCGUUCAGCUCAAAAUUCAAGCAGAAAAAAGUGAUAAAAUAAAAAAGUUAAAAGUAAUACAAAACUUAUUUGAAGUAUGGUAUUUUUUGAAAUGGUUACUUAAUCUUUAAGGGUGCGUUUGGUUCGCACUAUGAAAGAUUACUAAGAGUAAAAAGAUAUCCGAGAAUCUUAUUCCUAUUUAUUCUAUUACUAAGAAUGUAGUAUUUCAGUAUUUGGUUCCUACGAUCAUAUUAUUCAGUCAUGUUAUUUAGAGAGAAUGAGAGGGUUGAGAUUUUAGAAAAAGAGGGGGAGAAAUAGCUUAAUUUAGAGAGAGAAAAAGAGUUGAAGUUUAGAGAGAAAAAAAAAAAGUUUAGAGAAAGAUAUGAGGUUAGAGUGUAAAGAAAAAUAAUACCAACUAGCCAGCGGGUGGGAAGAAAAAAAAAAUAGACAUAUUAUAAUUAUUCUAAUCUAUUAAUAUACGGAUACCCACCCUCCCUCAAAGAAAUGAGAUUAGUAUUUUGGGAUGCAUCUCAUUCCCAAGUAAAUCUAGUAUUACCAACUAAAUUACUUAGUGCGCUUAGCCAAAUACCGUCAUAUUUUUUUUAUUCCUAUUGGAUUACUAGGAAUCUUAAAAAGAUAGCGCGAACCAAACGCACCCUAAAAGUUUUUAUUUUAAUCUCUAAACUUCUGAUAUGAACCUACAAAUGACAAGGGCCUUCCAAUUUGAUACCAAGCAGAACAACUGGUUUUCGAAAAAGCUUAAACUUCCGCAGAUCAGCUGUGUUUUAAUAUUUUAUGUUCGACAUAUAUACAAUAAGAAAUUUGACAAAUUCAACGAAGAUCGAAGCAGCUCAGGCGCGCGGUUAAGGACCGAACUGCAAUUCGACAAAAGUUUAGAGGAUUUUGUGCACUCCACCUAGAAAGAUUCUGAGACCUCUGCAGAGUCUUUUCUUUUCUAUGCAAGAGUGGAUCUCCCAUGAGAUCUUCCCCCACCAUAUAUUUGUUCCACUCAAAUGGUGUUUAUAAGAGGGGACCUCUUGUGCAAGUUGUUUUUACCUUGUUUUGAGAGGAGGGGACAAAGAGGGUACAACAACAACAAUACCUUUGGGAAAGGAGAUAAAUUUAUGAGUUACCACUUAGUAAUUGUAUAGUGGUUGUUACUCAGUAUAUUAUAUCUAAAAGAUCGGAAGUUUGAUACCCCAUAUGUGUAUUUCAAUCAUGUGUUAAAUAUAAAAAUAUUUAAACACCGUUCUUUAAUAGCUUAAAUUUUUAGAGUACAAUGAUUGUUUCACAUGGUAUCAAAACAGGAGAUCCUGAGUUCGAAUCACGCCAAGCUCCUAGCAUAUUAAUUUCCUCCCAUUUAAUUCAAGCCUACGUCAUGGGCCGACUAAAAAGUCUUGAGCCCAGACAUGAGAUGGAGUAUUAAAUAUAAAAAUAUUUAAACACCGUUCUUUAAUAGCUUAAAUUUUUAGAGUACAAUGAUUGUUUCACAUGGUAUCAAAACAGGAGAUCCUGAGUUCGAAUCACGCCAAGCUCCUAGCAUAUUAAUUUCCUCCCAUUUAAUUCAAGCCUACGUCAUGGGCCGACUAAAAAGUCUUGAGCCCAGACAUGAGAUGGAGUAUUAAAUAUAAAAAUAUUUAAACAUCGUUCUCUAACUACUUAAGCUUUUAAAGUAUAGUGAUUGUUUCACAUUAUGUAGGCCUCUGAAGGAUUAUGUUGUGUAGGAGGAAAAGGAUUAUAGUAAAUCAAAUGAUGCUUUUAUUUCAAGAAAAAGUACUUGAACUUUGCUUGUUUGUUCGCUCAUAACUGAUUUUCAGAUUGAAAAUGACUUUUAUUUCAACCGAAGCUGUAGAUGAUUUUUUUUUUUUUUUUUUUUUUGAUAACAAGUCGAUGACUUUUGAAUUAUUAUAGAAAACUUGAACACUAUAUAGUACAUAAGAGGGUUAAAAAAAAGAAACUACAACAGCAAAUUUUUUUCAUUAUUGGUUUCAUGUAGAUGAACUCAGUAUCAGUUUUCAAGUUUUGAAAUAUGUGAGUGGAUAAUGCAACUCUUUAUUGACUAAUGCAAUGGCUAUUGGUUGACUUUUUCUUUGGGUGCAUUUCCAGGUAAUGUAAAGUUUAUUAAUUAAUUAGGGCUAAGAUUUAAAAGCAUCUCAAGUAUAGAGGACUUGUAAUAGAAUAAUAAUUGGCAAGAUAACCUCCACAUGGGUUUAUGCUAUUAACCAAUUUGAAAUAGAUUAUGUAAGCACUUAACCAUGUAAUCAAACCCCAUGUGGUUUUUAAAAAUGCUUAGGGAUCACUCAUUGUUUUGUUAAUUGCCUAAUGAUGAAAAAAUAUUACAUUAUUAUUGGUCUAUGAUCAUAGUGAUUUGGUAUUACCGUUGUAGAUUCGAACUCUUUCCUUUCAAAAUUGAAGUUCAUUAAUGUGGUUUUGCUCGCUGUAGUUUCUGCUUAUUAUUUAUUAUUGGACUAAAAUAGAUCCAACUUCCUGCUCCGUGACAAUAGACUCAGGAGACUAAUAAGUUGAGUUGGGUGAGCCUAAUAAAUUUGGUCCACAAGAGACCUAAUAAUAAGAGGCCUAAUAAUAGAUCCAACGUUCAGGUGAGUUGAGUUAGGUCGAAGCCCGCGAACGCUGUGGUUGAGCUCUUAAAUGCGAUGGGUGCGCCCUUCUUAUAAGCACAUUCUUUUGGGAUGGUUGAUUGGCACUUACGGUCCACAGUUUCUACAGAAUAUGUCAUUCAGGAAAAGGUCUGAAUAUAUUUAUUAGAAACGUAUUUGCUGAUCUUCCGAUUAAUAGAAUUAUUUCAAUAGUCAUAUCAAACAGACAAUAAAAAUAGUUGACCUCCAUAUGCUAAAACUUUGAGUUCUACAAGCUCGAUACUGAAAAAAGGCCGAAUUAAUAUAAACUUGAAAUCUAAAAGUUUUCCAACUUAAAUUAUGGAUUUUUUACAUCUUUUUUUAAUCGAAGAACGGCUAUGACUAGAUAGNUAAUCGAAGAACGUCUAUGACUAGAUUUUUUUUUUUUUUUUUUUUUUUUUUUUAAGAAAAGGUUCAUAGACACCCUUUAGACAGGAAUUAAAAUUAUUGUUAGUUCUACCCAGUGUCAAAUUUUAUCAGUUAAUUAACUCGGAAAUUAAUGUUGUAGAACCUGAAGGCUGGUUCUAAAGAGAGUUUCACAAAGGGGGAGCAAUGUCGGAUGUACUAACAUCUCCAAAGUUCAAUGUUUAAACUAUAAGUAGGCUUAAUUUGGGAUUAUGGGAAAAAACACCUUAUAUGUGGCGAUAAAAAAAUAGUUUUUUUAAAAAAGUUUCGUGUCUAAAUUAUACGUUUUGUAUAUCAUAAUAAGUUGAUUACGAGCAGUCUCAUCAGAAACAAAAAAAAGUUAUGUUAUUUUAUGCUUUUCACUAGAAAACGAAGAAAUAUAUUUACGUACACUUUUAUCCCAGCUCUGUUUUGCCUACCAGUGUUAGGCUACGUUUGGGAUUGCGGGAAGAUUGCGUUACGAGCGGUGAAAAACGAUAUUGUUUUCGUACGUAAUAUUGCGUUCCGCAUAUUACGGUUAGUCGGUUACGAUAUAUUUUCUAUGAUCCCAUCAGAGAACGCAGAAGCAUAUCCCUAUAUGCUUUUCUCAACUCUAUUCUAUCUGAUAGUGUUAGAUUGACUCCAAUACCAAACUAAGCCUUAGUCGGCCUCAAAUUACAGAUCUCUUCUUUGUGGCCUCAUAUCCAUUAGCCUAUGAGCCAAUUAUCUUCAUGGGCCAGAUAAUAUAUUGGGCUGUUGAGAGUUUUUAGUAGGGCUUAGGGCAUGUUUGGUACGCCGGAAGUGAGGGGCCGAAGCCCGACAAAGCGAUAAUAUGUUCGGAGAAAAUGGUUUAUUCUCAACCUCACCGUAGCAGGUGAUCCUCUAUGUAGAGGUUGCAUCACAUCAGCUAUAUAUAUCUUAAGCCAAUUAAACUUCUUCAUUUCAGAAAAAAGUAUGAUGAGUCGAUAAAUUCUAUAAACAUAAUUUGAUUGGCUGAAGAUACGACGACGAAGUGUUACUAUCAUAGUUUAUACUUUUUCUCCACACGAGACUCUGAGAGCGCUAUAGAUUGGCCUUUUGAAAUACCAAACAUCGAUCAUAAUCUGGGAGCGCUAUGGAUUGGCUUUUCCAAGUACCAAACAGCCGCUUCUAUGAUGAGUUGAGAUCCCUAUCACUCUAACAUAUACUGUAUACAACAAAUAUCUAGAUCUCUUAUUUGCCCUCCCCACAUUUUCUAGUGCACAAAGUUUUUUUUUCACAAUAAUAAUUGAUUUUAUGCUCUAAGUAGGAAAAAUAAGAAAGGUUUCUUGAUAUGUAUGUAGUUAAGAAACUUAUAACUGAUUUCUUUUUUAUUUUUAGUUUUUGCAUAUCUAAUAUUCUUUUUUUCACACACACACACACACACACACACACACACACAUAUAUAUAUAUAUAUAUAUAUAUAUAUAUAUAUAUAUAUAUAUAUAUAUAUAUGGAGUUUGAUUGGACAACUAUCGAUAGUAAACUGCUCGGUUUACUACCGAUUUUAUUUUUGAUGAUAGAGCUUCCAAAUCGACGAUCGGCACCGUUGAAUAUGAUCUAGACCAUUUAAAUUAUCUAGAAAUAAAAUUUCAUGACACUGAAUGAUCAAAGGGUCACAAAAUCUAUAAUUUUAGUAGCCGAUAUGGUGCGUUUGCUCGUUUAACGGUAUAGAAGAGUUCAAAUCAACUAAAUUUUUAUUAGAAAAUUCUUUAAACUAUUUAAAAUAAGAUCUAGACUCUAGAUUUCAAAUAUAAAAAUUAUAUCAUCACUUUUUGAAAAAUAUUCAUUUUCAGCCGUNCUUUUUCUCGAAAUCCGUGCAUCCAAAUCCAAUUCCGUCAGUGCCUUUGGGUCCAGGAUAGUCGAGCGGUUGAAAACGAGCUAUUGGAAGGCUAUAUUCGGAGUCCGAUACACGUCGAAAGUCCACUUUACUCCGCGGCCUCUCCGGAAAACCGGAGUUACUAUUCACUUAAGUCAGACUUCCGGGUCGCGUAACUUCUCCGUUUUAACUCGUUUUCUCCUGAAAUUUGACGAGUACACUUAUAAUUAUAUUACACACAAGAACAUCGUCAAACAAAAGGGUUUACUCAAUAAAUCAAAAAUCUCAGUUAUUACAAAAAUAAAUUUAAAUAUUAAAGUUAAGACCAAAUAUAAACUCUUAGCUAAGCUCUCCACUUUCGGUGACUUCCGAAUUUUUUGAGCCAAAGUAAAAAAAGUGAGAUUUAAUUAUAACUCACUUUAUCAGCCCACUUUCGUAAAUUAACUUUUAUAUUCACUUUCGUAAACCAAACAACUGAUAAGAUGUUACUUUCUAAAAGUAUCACUUUCGAUACUAUACUUUCGGCGAACCAAACAUGCCCUAAGAGUAAUUGAAAAUUAAGUUCCAAAUUAAUCAAAAAUCAUAUACAAGCUAGCAAUUAAGAAGCUAACCUUUUCAAGUUCGAAGCUAAGCCUACUUCUGAGCUAGGAUUGAAAUUAUAUCCUCAGAAUAUCUCCUUCUUCACUUCCACCACUCCUCCAAGAAUCUCAAAACCAGCACCAUAGAGAGGAUAGAAGGAAAGAGCUCAAUUCCAUCAAUUCCCACCAAAAUUGGAAAAAAGCCUAGAGAGAGAAAGAGAAGAACUCACCCUGUGUGUUCCUUGCUUCCAGCAUGAGAAGAACACCAGCUGAUGCAGUACUGGUAUUCAGCCCCAGUACCGGUACUCACCGAGUCAGUACCGGUACUCAACACCUAACCUCUCAACCCGAGAGCUACCCAUUCUGGCAACUCUCUUGGAUACCGGUACCCCACUCAGGUACCGAUACUCAACACUCAAAACUUGCAGUUUGCCAAUUUUAGUGUCGGUAAUCCGUUCUCACACUCAUAAAGCUUCAGUUAGGUGUCAGUACACUAUCAGCAACCCUCAAAUUAACUAGAAUAGUUAAUUUCAUAUACUAUUCUCAUACUAGAACAUUACAAUUUGUUAAAGUUCAGUGUAUUACACAAAGGGUUAAAUCUAACGGCGAAAAACUUGAUAGCACCAAUUGUAAACGUUUGGUGCUAUCGAUAGUAUUCCAGCCGGACUCUAUAUAUAUAUAUAUAUAUAUAUAUAUAUAUAUAUAUAUAGAUUGGGUGAUUUUGCCUUAGAAAAUGAAAUUAUAAUUUUAUUUUUUUUCUUUGUUUAGCGGACAGAUAUAGCUAGAUAAAAUAAAAGGGAUAAUUACACUUUUUGUUGUUCCCAAACUAUGACAUUUUCGUUUUCAAUUUUUGAUUUGUCAUAAUUUCUUACUCUAAUUUUUUAAAUUAUUGCAAUUAAAUAAAUGCUACAGUUCAAUUCAGUUGAUUAAAUAUUAAUAAAUUAUUGAUAUAGAAACAAUGUGAAAAUGUUGUAAUUGAUGGUACGACAAUACUUCAGAUGCUACAUUAUUGUUAUAUCAAUAAUUUGAUGAUAUUUAAUCAACCUAAUUGAAUUAUAGAACUUAAUUACAGCCGGUUGAAAAGUUCGAGUCAAAAAUUAUAAUAAAUCAAGUAUAAAAACCAGCGUGUCAUAAAACUAAUAAUUUGGAAACCAAAAAUAUAAUUUACUUUAAAAUAAAAUAAAAAAUGCUAAUUCUACCAUCCGAAAGGAGUUGUAGGAUUAUAACUCUUGAUCCAAGAGUUGCAAUUCCAACUUUUAUUAGGAUUUAAAAAAUUCUUCAUGGAUUUUAAUAAUACAAAAACAGUGAGUGAUAGGAAUAGUAAAGAAUUAUCAAUCCUUGAAUGGUGGAAUUGUAAAAUGUACAAUAAGAAAAAAAAAAUUAUAGAACUAGCGUUGCUUAAAUAAAAAUUAAUUUUUUGAAAGAUGAAAAUCAAGAAAUAUUAUGACUGUCACAAAUCAAUCAAACUAUUUUCGAGUUUAUCCCUUCAAUCAUAAUUUUCUAAAAUAUUUUUUUAUUAUAUCUUCUAAAAAGAGAAAGUGAUUGGCCGGAUAUAUUGACGAUGUAAUUCACUGCCACCUAGUAAACUUCCUCCCCGCAGGGUUGAGCAUGAGAGUGGUCAUUUAAGGAAGGUUUUUAGGGGAAUCAUUAUCAACAAAUAAUAAUAAUAAUAAUAAUAAUAAUAAUAAAUUAUAAAAGAAUUUUUUUAAGACUUAGUUUGGUAAGCACGUAGGUAUAUAUUUUUGUAUUUUUCGAUGAGACCGCAUUGUAGCUGGCUUAUCGUGAUAUAUAGAACGUAAUAUUACGUACGAAAAUAAAUAAAAUAUUUUUUUUAAUCGUAUUUUUUCACCGCACGUAAUUUUUUCAUAAUCCAAAACAAAACAUAAAUCUAAUGAUAAAAUAAAUAUUAAAAGGAAAAAUAAUCUGAAGAGUAAUAAUAAUAAUAAUUUACAGAAAGCGAUGGAGGCGUACCUGGACCGAAUGCCUUGCUUGCAAACGUGCUAAUCACCACCCACCACUAACCAGUAACCACUCGUCAAUCACCGAUCACCUUCUUCCUGCUCCUCCUCCGCCAUGGCCGACGAGCUCGGCAAUGGCGAUCGGGCCCCCUCGGCGUCGGAGCCUCUGCUGUCGGGUCGUCGGGCCUGGCUCCGGGUGCGGUGGCCGUCGGCGGCGAGGAGCUUCGCGCUGAAGACGUCGGUGUGGUCGGAGCUGGGGGGGGCGGUGGGGGACCUGGGCACCUUCAUCCCCAUCGUGCUGGCGCUCUCCCUCUCCUGCGGGCUCGACCUGGGCACGGCGCUCGUCUUCACGGCGCUCUACAACGCCCUCACCGGCCUCCUCUUCGGCCUGCCCAUGCCCGUCCAGCCCAUGAAGUCCAUCGCCGCCGUCGCCAUCGCCUCCUCCCCGCCGCUCCCCCUCCCCGCCAUCGCCGCCGCCGGCCUCUCCGUCGCCGCCGCCCUCUUCCUCCUCGGCGCCUCCGGCCUCAUGUCCUCCCUCUACCGCCUCCUCCCCCUCCCCGUCGUCCGCGGCGUCCAGCUCUCCCAGGGCCUCUCCUUCACCUUCUCCGCCCUCUCCUACAUCCGCUUCCUCCAACCCUUCUCCUCCCCCUCCAAUUCCCUCUCCUCCUCCUCCUCCUCCUCCUCCUCGGACCCGCGCCCAUGGCUAGGGCUCGACGGCAUCGUCCUCGCCCUCUCCGCCCUCCUCUUCCUCCUCCUCACCACCGGCGCCGGCGCCGACGACGACGACGAUAGCCGCAGCGGCGAUAGCCGCACUCGCGGUCGCGGUCGCGGUCGCGGUCGCCGCGCGUGCGCCCUGAUCCCCUCCGCGCUCAUCGUCUUCCUCCUCGGCCUCGCGCUCUGCUUCGUCCGCGACCCCUCCGUCCUCGCCCAGAUCAAGCUCGGCCCCUCCCCGCUCCGCGUCGUCCGCAUCACCUGGGACGACUUCAAGCUAGGGUUCUUCCGCGCCGCGAUCCCGCAGCUCCCGCUCUCGAUCCUCAACUCCGUGAUCGCCGUGUGCAAGCUCUCCGCCGACCUCUUCCCGGAUCGCCCGGAGGGGCCCGUCUCCGUCGCCGCCGUCUCCGUCAGCGUCGGCGCCAUGAACCUCGUCGGCUGCUGGUUCGGCGCCGUCCCCGUCUGCCACGGCGCCGGCGGGCUCGCCGGGCAGUACCGCUUCGGCGGCCGCAGCGGCGCCGCCGUGCUCUUCCUCGCCGCCGGGAAGCUCCUCCUCGGCCUCCUCUUCGGCGCCUCCUUCGUGCGCAUCCUCCGCGAGUUCCCCGUCGGCAUCCUCGGCGUGCUGCUCCUCUUCUCCGGGAUCGAGCUCGCCAUGGCCGCGCGGGACGUGUCCGGCAAGGAGGAGGCCUUCGUCAUGCUCGCCUGCGCCGCCGUGUCCAUGGCCAGCUCCGGGGGCGCCGCCAUGGGCUUCAUCUGCGGGCUCGCCGUGUUUGUGGUGCUGCGGGUGAGGGAGGUGGAUUGGCUCGCCCUCGUGGCGAAUUUCAGGAUCCCCGGAUUUGGCGGCCGCAACGGGAGAAGGGCACCGGCGCCAACGGCGGCGACUCCAAAAGCUGAGGAGGCCGGCGCAGAUGCGUGAUAUUACGCGUAUCUAUGAACGCAUUCGAAAAUCUUAUUGAUAAGCCAGUAUUUUAUAUAAUAUUUCGAAUAUGUUUGCAGUCAUCUCUUUCUAUCAUGUUCUGUAUAAAAUUUGCUAGACCAUCAACAACUUUUUAAAAUAGUUUACUAUUUUUUUUUUUUUUUUUUAGAGAGAUAGCAUGUUAUCCGUUUCGUUUAUUUCAUUGUAGAAAUAAAUUUAGCUGAAAAUAUGAAUUAAUUAGAAUUCGAAUUUGGGAUCUUGAAUACCAACCAUCAAAUUUUUUGUCACUUACUUAAGGAACGAUCACUAAAAUAGUCUUACUAUUGGUAUGCAAAAUUGCAAAUUUGGAAAGGAAAUAUUUUAGGUUGAACAAAGUCAUUGGCUUUGGACAUCCACCAUCAAUAAUUUGAUAGUAAUUCUAUUGAUGAUAUAACCUUUUCCAUCUAUAUUCAAGUCUCAUUUACUAAGCAAGUAAGGGCAACACUACUUACCUUAAAAUACUCGCUCAUUGUCAUUUAUACAAUACUGAUUUAUGGAUAUAUGGAAAUAAUUUUGGGUAGGUGUUGCAUUACUGCAUCUGCUAUUUCAUAGGAUCCAGACACAGGAGAAUGUGCAGGGCUUAGCUAGUGUUGUAAUGAUUGGAAAUUGUUUCUUUUUUUUUGGAGUGUUACUGUGGCACUUCUGCAAUUAUUGAGAAAGAAAAUAUGUGUUGUAUUGUUUUUUUUUCCCUUUAUAUAUCCUUCUGUUGAGAAGGAGAUUUAUAUUGUGAAAUAUUAAGUGACAUGUACUAUUGGAUUAAGUAUGAAAAUGUUCAAAUACCUAGAAACUAGAGGACAAUCUUAAUACUAUAUAUAUAGAGAGAGAGAGAAUUAGGCUGGAAUAUUAUUAAUAGCACUAAUGAUUUGGUACUAAUAAAUUUUCUAUCCUUGGAUUAAAAUAUGUGCGGUUAGAAUGAUUUGGGCCCCCUAGAGUUGAGUAGGUAGUUGGUUGAAUAGUAUAAUCGAACGGAUAAAAAUGAUAAAAGAGGUAAAUCUAACGGCAGAAAACUUGAUAGCACCAAAUGCUUCGUGCUAUCGAUAGUAUUCCAGCCGGACUCUAUAUAUAUAUAAAGUUCGGCUGAAGUACUAUCGAUAGUACCAAGGAUUUGAUGCUAUCGAGUUUUACACCGUUAGAUUUAACCCUCUGAUUAUUUUUAUCCGUUAAAUUUGAUUUAGAGUAUUUGAAGUACCUAGAAAAUAAAUUUUAUAUUUUUAAGAUAUCAUUUGCCUAGUGAACGAAGGGGCUCAAAAUCAACGGCUGAAAAUAAAAAUCUUACAAAAUGUAAUAAUAUGAUAUUAAAAUUUUAAAUCAAAGAUAUUGAUCUUGUUUUAUAUAGUAUAAAAAAUUUUAUAUCAAAAUUUCACGUGAUUUGGAUAUUUCUACACCGUUAAACUUGCAAACGGCUCACUACGGUCAUUGAAAUUUGUUGAUUUUGAGCCCAUUCGAUCACUAGGCAAAUGAUAUCGAAAAAUAAUAAAAUUUAUUUUCUAGGUACUUCAAAUACUCUAGAUCAAGUUUAACGGAGCCAAUCGACGAUUCGAAAGUCACAACAUCGAAAACGAGCUGGAAGCACGGAAGGCUCCGUGCUUCCGAUAGCAUAGUAGCCUCACUCUAUAUAUAUAUAUAUAUAUAAUUGAGCUCCUAUGCUUUUAAAAGUAUCAAGACAUUGGUACUUAUAGAUUUUUAGCCAUUGGAUUAAGAGAUAUGCGGUUAGGAUGAUAUAGGCAUUCUAGGGUUGAGUGGUUGGUUGGUUAAAUAGUAUAAUCUAAUGGUUGAAAAUGAUCCAUGGAGUAAAUCUAAAGGUAAAAAACUUACAAGCACCAAGUGUUUGGUGCUUUUACAAGCACCAUAGCUGGACUAUAUAUAUAUAUAUAUUCAAAGUCCGAAAUUGAAAGUUCUAAGUUUAAGCACACACAGGAGCUCAAACUCCCGACCUUAAAGUCAUUCACUUGCUAUUUACAAAAAAUAUUCUACUAAGGAAGACAAGUUACAAAAAAUAUUCUAGUAAGGAAGACAAGUUGUAUGCACUGAAGAUGGUGUGGGCAUAUUUGUUUGGGUGGAAAUGGGAUAGAAGUGAGGCCUUUUUGCAUAAAAAAUCCACUUAUUUUGGAUUUUUGCAAAACCGGGCCACCUUUUUNCUGGGGGUCGGGAUCUGGCUGAGGGGGAGAGGAGGAGCGGAGGAGCAGGAGCCGGGGUGGGGAUGGCGGAGGCGGCGGCGGCGGCGGUUGCAUCCUCGCUGCCGCAACCACCUCCUCUUACUCGCUGACGCCGCCUCGUUGCGCCGCCACCACCGCCUCGACCGGGGCUCGAAGCGCCGAAGAGGCGAGCAGCGUCGGGCGCCGGACGCGCCGGAGCAGUUGGUCGCGUCCAGCCGCCGGCGGUUCGGGCUCGAGUUGUCGCGCUCGUGGUGGAGCUCGUCGAGGGAGUGGUAGCGGCUGCUCGAAAGCUGUGGUGGCGGCGCUCUACCCCGACGACCCCGACAGCGACAUGCGGUUGAGGCGGCUCGCAACGCCGCACAUUUUGCAGAGGAGCAGGCUGCCGCGGUAGCCUCGGCGGCGCGUGGCGGCUCCGCCGCCGCCUCCUCGCCGGCACCCCCGGCAGCACUCCACGCCCAGCGGCCCCCCUCGCUCCUCCCACGCCAAGCCCUUGUGCUGCCACUAUCCCUGCUGCGUCCUCCUAAGCUCUCUCUUGCCGCCCACGCCGUUCUUUUUUUUUGUCUUGCUAUCUUUGUCUCUCCUCUCUCUUUCUCCUUUCUCUUUUUCAUUAUUCCCAUAAAACCAGUUCGUCUGCUUUUUCGCCUGGCUUAGACGUUUUUGCUUUUUCCACCGGGCCAAAACGUUUUCGGGUUUUAUUCACCUAAAAAAUACGUUUAACCGGAUAAACUUUAGGUUUAUUUGUUUUAAACUUAUCUAUUUUUAAAAUUUUUUCUUUAUCCCAUCUUAUUUAAAUAUAUGGGGAGUGAUUAAAAGUUAUAAAACCCUAUUUUAUCUAUUAAAAUAAGAAUUGGAAGUAAUAUGAUAUUUUACAUUGAUUCUAAUUUUGUUAAGGUUGAUUACUAUCAUAUAGAACUUCAAAAAAAAUCCUUUUUGAAGUUUUUAGGGGGGACACCAAGGCGUGAAAAAGUAAAAUCAUGGGACACCAAAUUUCACAUAGUUCAAUCAUGGGAUACCAAAGAGUGAAAUAGUGAAAUCAUGGUACACCAAAUUUCACAUAGUUCAAUCAUGAGACACUAAAAUAAAAACAUAGUUCAAUCAUGGGACACCAAAAUAAAAACAUAGUUCAAUCAUGGGACACCAAAGAUUUGGUGUCCCAUGAUUUCACUAUUUCACGCUUUGGUGUCCCAUGGACGCGGUUGAAUAAAGGGCGGGUCCACCACACCUGACCGUUUUUCACGCGACUGAAGCAGUUCGCCAGGUGUUAGUGGGUAUAACGCAGCACCGGGGGACAGCUCGCUCCGUACGGCUGCUGCUUUAGGUAUCUAUAUAGGAGGAUAAAGGUCUGCCCCUAUCCAUCCGAAACUUCGAAAGGGCGACCUUUAACCGUGAGGCGAAAGUGAACGACUGUUCAGUUUGACAGUGCUGGGCGCUGGGGGCGGAUAAACCGGCCUAGCGCCGCGGCGGCUGUCUGGCGGCUUGCCUGUCUCAAAGGGGACAUGCAGGAUCCGCAGCGUUGUUCAUGUUAUGUUUCUAAGGUUGAUCCUUGCCAUGAACCGUUUGUCUAACGUAGUCCUUCCAUAGUUAGUUGUAUUUGUGUAGGAUUCAAUAAUGUAAGUAAGUAAACUGUAAGUAAACGAUUGACUAAAGGAGGUUUAUGUUAGAUCUUAUAAUGUUGAGAAAAAAAAACAGAACGAUAGAAACAGAGAGGAGAGAGAAAGAGGAAAGAGAAAAAGUAAUUAGGGUAUUUUGGUCAGGCGGACGAAAAAGCGGACCGAAUCUGCAAAAACGAAAAAGGUGGCCCGGUUUUGCAAAAGCCCAAAAUAAGUGGAUUUUUUAUGCAAAUUGGCCUAGAAGUGAAGAGGAGGAAAGUCGUUUCGCUAUAAACGAUCAGUUUUGUUGCAGUUUGAUUUGCCGCAAAUAAGUUACGGUUGAAACCCGACUUAACCUGAAACGGCGUAAUUGGCUUCGGCCCAUCGUGGGCUGAAGUCAACUACGAUAAAAAGAAGAGAAGAAAAAAUAAUAAAAUAAUAAACUAAGUAAAGAUAACUAUUUAAAUAUAUUUAAUUAUGGUAUUAAUUAUUAUUUUAUUAAGUUGACAUAUUUAAAAUAUGAUAAAAAUUAAUUAAUUAAUUAUUAAUAUUUUUUACUUUAUAAUUUUAUUGUUGUAUUAUUAUAAUUUAUGUAUAAAAAAUUAUAUAGUUAUUUUAAAUUAAGUUUUAAUUAUAUAAAAAUAUAAUUAUAUUAUUUUUAUUUAUUAAAAUAUUUAUUGUUUAUAUAUAAAUUAUAAUUUUAAAUCGUACACUUCCUACCAAACAAACAGCAGAACUAAUAUAACUACACUUUCAUAAUUACGAAACAAACAGCAAAAAAAAAAAAAAAAAAAAAAAAAUUUCACCAAACUCAACUUCAAUUCAAAGUCCAUUUCAAAUCAAAAAGCUACUGUUGUAAUGAUUGAAAAUUGUUUCCAUUUUUGGAGUGUUAGUGUGGCACUUCUACAAUUAUUGAGAAAGGAAAUAUGUGUUGUACUGUUUUUUUUUUCCUUUUAUAUAUCCUUCUGUUUGACAAGGAGAUUUAUAUUGUGUUGUACAAUAUUAAGUUAGUAGAGCUAGAAUACUUGUAAAAGUAUCACCCAAGUGAUACUUGUGUAUUUUUAGCCCUUGGAUGAAGAGAUGUGAGGUUGAGAUGAUGGUGAUAGGUGAUACUUGUGUGUUUUUAGCCCUUGGAUGGAGAGAUGUGAGGUUGAGAUGAUGGUGGUAGAUGGUGGUAGGUGGAAUAGUGUUUGAUCCAAGGACUAUUAGUAAUCAAAAAGUAGAUCCAAUGGCUAAAAACACACAAGUAUCACUUGGGUGAUACUUGUAAAAAUAUUCUAGCCCUACUCAUAUUAAGUGAUAUGUACUAUCGAUAAGUAUGAAAAUUUUCAUGUACCUAAAAAAAUAAAGGACAAUCUGAAUACUAUACAAUAAGAAGGCAAAGCAUUGCGCAUAAGGCAUGUUUGUUUUAGUAUAAGUAGAGUGAUGGAACUCAAGUUCCAUCACUUUCGUUAUUUAUUUUGGUGUUAAUGAAAAAUAUAAUAUAACUCAAGUUACGUUAGACCUCCAAUUCACCUACUCUCGACUUCUUCCUCUAAAGUGCCGAACUCAACUUCCACCACACUCAACUUCCUCUAAAAUAUUUAUUAAACAGUAAAAUCUAAACUCUACUUCCCUUAUAAUAGAUUAGAAUUACCUUAUUUAUAAUAAAUUAGGAUUAUCUUUAAAUAAUAAAAAAAAAUUAAUUAUAUAAUAAGUUAAAUUUUAUAGCGGUAAAUUUACUAUUAUAUUUAGGAGAUAAUGGAAUCCACUUACUUACAUCAAAAUAAACAACGGAACUCAUAAAACUAAUUUUACCAGCACCAAGUUACAUCAAAACAAACAGAAAAAGUAAUUGAAUUUAACUUUCAGUCUAUACGAGUUACGUCAAAACAAACAACCAAAAAAUAAUCACAUUUCAGAAAAACUCGAACACCACUGUUCUUGACUUACGUUGGAUCUAUAGGUACGUCAAUCCAAACGGACCCUAAAAAUUUUAGAAGAGAGGUUAAUUUCUGCUAGUGUUUUUAUUGUGAGAUUGUCAAAUCCCCACGAACACCACGGGUCACAACUAGGAGUGCUUAAUGGGUCUACAAAUAAAGGAAAAAUUAUUCAAAUUUUCAAUAAUUUUCUUAAAAAACCAUCUAAAACUUAUUUAAUAAAUAUACAACUAUAGUGCGGCCUUUUUUUUGCAUUUGGCACUCUCAAAAUAUUUUUUUUUUUACAAAUAGCUCCAUCAAAUUUAUAAUUGCAAAUUUGGUCCUAUCCCCGCCACGCAGGUACCACGUCAGCGUCAUGGUUUUAAGUUGAAUAUGGUGAAUUAUUCACCGUUUUAAGUUGAACAAGGUGUUUAGACACGAUAAAUAGUUCACCGUGCUCAACUUAAUAAACUGGCCUCAAUUCCGCUCACGUGGCGUUGACGCGACGCUUGCGUGGCAGGACUAUGAUCAUUUUUACAAAUAUAAAUUUGCUGAAACUAUUUUUAAAAUAAAUUUUUUUUAGAAGACCAAACACAAAAAAAAAAAAAAAAAAACUCACAUGUACUCUAUAAAAUCCAUGGCGUGGCACGACGCGGCCAGACCGUGCCCAGAUCGGUUUGGAUACGAAACCGUGCUGGACGACUGGUUGGGAAAAACAGGCCUGGUCUUGUUUGUGCCGUGCUGGUUCGGCACAGCCCACAUUACACGUUUAGUCACACCUACUUAUGUAAACAGAGAAGAUCUUUUUAGUCCAAUGCUUAUAACAUAGAAAAUAUACAAAAGAUUAAACUAAUCAUAAAUACGACCAAGCCAACUACUUUUGACCUACCCGAUCCGACCCAGCCUCAUAUUUUUUAUGCAUUAAACCCGAGCCCUGUUCAAGAUGAUCGGGCCGAGUUAAGCCCAAGUCAACGUCAGGCCUGUUUGGCUUUUGUUUUCUAGAUCUCGAAGGUUGAACUCGUGAUUCGAAAAAAACUGUCACCGUCAGCAUUAGUUUCGACAUCAUAGCGGUGAAAUUAUCCGAACUCCCACUCCUCGGUGGGGUGGGGGUUGAAGUCGAGUUCGCGAAAUUUGCAAGUUUCCAGCUCUCCAACUUUUCGCUGCCAAAUAAUCUCUUAUUAGUGAAAGAGUCAGAGCAGCUAACCUGACCUAAAAUUACUAGGACUGGAUUAAACCUAAACUUGUCCGAUCCAAAUUGAUUAACUGGCUAUGUUAGAUUAAGCAAAACUGAAUCCUAACCUGAGCUUAAUCCAAUGUGAACCAAUUCAACAUAUAUAUUACAAUAUUAGAAAAGUAAAACAUUAUUGUAACAGUGUACCUCUAUUAUCCUACUUCUAUCCUUCUCAAAAGAGAAUCAACAUUCUAUUACAUUUAAGGCACCCAAUUGGGUGACCCGCCACAUCGAGUCCCUGCGAAGAUAUUUUUUUUGGUCAAGCAGAAGCAAACUACCAAGCAAAGGGUGUCUAUUUGUCUGGAAAAAUGUUUGUAUACGCAAGGAUCGAGGAGGGUGGACUUGGGAUUCUUGACCUAACCAUCUUGAACCAAGCUCUUUUAACCAAAUGGUGGUGGAAAUUCCACACCGAGCCCCAACUCCUGUGGAACAAGAUCAUUCACACCUUGUUCUAUCAACGACGAAGACCCCUGAAAGAAGGUCGAACCUUUAGACCGUACUCCUUUUGGUGGAAGGGAGUUCUGUGCCAGAGGGAUAUCAUUAGAUGGGGAGUUUCUUACAAGCUAGGUGAUGGGAAUAAUAUCGAUCUCUGGUUGGACCGAUUGUGUGGGGAUUCCACUCUACACCGAUCAUUUCCAGAGAUUUACGGAUUAUCGACCCACAAAUACUUGAGAAUCAGUGACUGUCUGACUCGCGAAGGAUGGGAUUGGACCAUGUUUCCUUCCGAUGACAAUAGGAAUGGGCACGGGUUGGGUCCCACCUUGACUGAAUUUAGGGAUAGAAUUUCCGUCUUCAAACUUGAGCACGGGCUAGAUAGAGUACUCUGGCGAUAGAGCCAUGAUAGCGGAUUCACGGUAAAAUCGACCUACGUCGCGUUAAGUGAUGGGGGUACAAGGGAUACCCGAGCGUGAAAGAUUUGGCAACUGAAAAUCCCCCUCAAAGUAAAAGUGCUUUGCUGGCUCAUCCUUAAGAAGAGACACCCAACCGCUGAUAAUCUCACCAGGCGAGGCUGGUCGGGAAACACUGCUUGUGUGAUAUGUGGAGGUGAAGAGGAAACUGUUCAUCACUUAUUCUCUCGGUGUGUUUUUGCUAGAUUCCUUCGGGUGGCGACCUCUGAGACUGUCCAACCUUCGAACUUGGGAGAGGACGUGCUUUCUCUCUGGGACAGACGGUCGGCUAGGCCGGGUGGCCAAUCGACGAGGACCAGGCUAUCCACACUAGCUGCAGGAUGGUGGGUCAUUUGGGAAGCACGGAAUGGAGUAAUCUUCCGAUCGGUCCCUCCUAACCCGAGCCUUCUGGUGCAUAAGAUCUCGUUGUUGACAAACUCGUGGGAGCAGUCCGACCCUGGAUAAUCCUCUUUUUUUUUUUUCGCCCUUUUAGAGGCCUUACUGCCUCACCUAUAUAGUUUAAUUCAUUGUUCCAAUGAAUGAAGCGGGUAGCAUGCUACCUUUUCCUCAAAAAAAAAAAGAAAAGAAAAAACAUUCUAUUUACUCAUGAUCUAGAGAAUAAUAAGCAAAGUCCAGCUUAUCAAGUGAACCCAAGUUUAACCCAACCUAAACUUAGCCCGAAUCCAAGACACAAUUGGCUCGGUUGAAUUGAUUUGUUGAUUGGAGUUUUUUUAUACUUAUGCUGCACCCUCUACUAAUUAAAGACUCUCUCCAUGCAUGGAAAUUAACCAUUCCUAUUAAUUAAAUAAUCCCCGCAUAUACAAGAGAAGGAUCAUAUUUAUAUUACGUACUCUCAUGCCGCGUAAGCAACUGCUUCUGCUUUCAUCUGCAGCUAUCUCUAGUAAAGUUUUCGCAAAACCAAAGAAGUUUGGAUCUUCAUUCGCGGAAAGGGGAAAAAAAUAAUCUCAGGUCUAAGAGUGUGUAUAGUAGCUCUAAUUCUGUUGUAAAGAACAGUUGUAUGUAUAGUGCUUCUCAUAAUUGCACUACUCUGUCCAUUAAUUCAAAAAAUAUAUAUAAUAAUAAGAAGAAGAAUAAGAAUAAGGGCAUGUUUCCAUUAAUUCAAAAAAUAUAUAUAAUAAUAAGAAGAAGAAUAAGAAUAAGGGCAUGUUUAAAGUAUAACUAUGCUAUGGGUGUAAAAAAAAUAUCCUAAUGUUUGGAUCCUAAAAAACUAUACCCUAAAAAAUAGGGUAAAAGUAACAUUUUACGCUAUUUUUUGGGCCUCGUCGCGUGACUUCCUCUCGUCUCUCUCCCUCCCGUUGCCCUCUCCACGGCUUCUUCCAUUGCUGUUGCUGCUCUCACCUCAGUCGCUGCCGUCGCCGCCGAUCCCGCGGAUCUCAGCCGCCGUUGUCGCCGCCCCGGCGGAUCUCGGCCGCCGCCGCCCUCGCGGAUCUUGGCCGCCGCCCCCCGCGGAUCUCGACUACUGCCGCCGAUUUGAAUCUCGGCCGCCGCCGCCGCCCCCGCGGAUCUCAGCCACCGUCGUCGCCGCCGCCGCCGCCGCCCCCACAGAUCUCAGCCACCGUCGUCGCCGCCCCCACGGAUCAUGACCGCCGCCGCCACCGCCGCCCCCGCAGAUCUUGGUCACCGCCCCCCGCGGAUCUCGACUACUGCCGCCGAUUUGAAUCUCGGCCGCCGCUUCCGCUGCCCCCGCGGAUCUUGGCCACCGCCCCCCGCGGAUAUCGACUACUGCCACCGAUUUGAAAUAGACUCUACAACUUCAAGUUUAGGGAUGGAUCCAAAAUAAGAUGGAUUGGGUAAAGGGUUUCAAUAAGAUGGAUCAGGGUAAAGGGUUUCCUCUCCCACUCGGUUUAUUUUCAGAUUGGGGUAGAUUCAAGCCGCCGCCACCGCCGCCCCCGUGGAUCUCGGCUACCGCUGUAGUCACGAUCUCGGCUAAUUUUCUAAAUUUUAAUUUUUAAAUUUUAAAAUUAAAAUUAUUUAAUAGUUAAUAAUUUAAAUUUAAAUUUUAAACUUUUAUUUUAAAUUUUUAUAUUUUAAAGUCAUUUAAUAACUAAUAAUUUAAGUUUAAACUUCCAAGACUAAUUUUUAAAGAUUAUCAGAAAUCCUGUAGAAUUAUAUAAUAUAUAUCCAAACAGCUUUUAAAAUAAAUCCGUGGAAUUUUUUUAAAGUUACAGAAUACUCCAUUUCAUUUGGACCAAAAUUACGGUAUUUAAACUCCAUGAAAUUUUUUUAUUGCUCAUCCAAACAGGGCCUAAUAAUAAUACUAUUAAUAACAUAGAUCUUCAUUAAAAUAUUACUACACCAAAAAUCAGGCCAAAUUAGGGAUGCAAAUGGGGCGAAUCUGGGGGCGGGAGACCCGCCCCGCCUCCCGCCCUGACUAGCAAAAUUCCGCCCCGCCUCCCGCCCCGAAUUCGUGACGGGUUAAAAAAUACAUCUCAUAAUUCGCCCCGCCUCGUAACCUGCCUCCCGCUGGCGUCCCGAAUCCGCCCCGUCAACUAAUAUUUUUUAUAACAUUAUAAUAUUAUUAAUAUUUUGUAAAAUAUAAAUUAAUAAUUUUUAAUAAUAUUAUAUAUAUAAUUUAACAAUAUUAAUUAUAAAAAUAAAAAAUAUCAAUUACAAUUCAAAACAAAAUUUAAAAGUUUCAAAUAUAUUAGAAAUGAGAGUACUAAUUUAUUUGUAUUUUGAACUUUUUUGUAAAUACAUUAUUUUUUAGAAAUAUUUUUUAAAAAUAUAAAUGAUUUUCGGGGUCGAUUCGGGGCAGAUUCGGAGCGGAUCAUGGCGGGGCGGAUUCGGGACGGAUUCGGAACGGGUCAAAAUUUCUUCCGUUUCCUGCCCCGAAUCCGUCUUGGAUCAUAAAAUUUGCCCCGUUUACCUCCCGAAUCCAUUUAUUUUCUCCCAUUUACUCCCCGUAGGGGCGGAUUGGGGCGGGAGCUCCACCAAUCCGGAUCCAUUUGCAUCCCUAGGCCAAAUAGAUAUUUAACACAGCAGCAGCAGCGCAUCUGCAUGUGAGUAUAAGUUGGAGGUGGGUAAAUGAAUGUUUGAAUCGACAUGAUCUCACUACAAUCCACAAACCUUAUCUAAUGAGAAUAAAAAUAUUAGUUAUGCUCGCGACUACUAGCUGUAUACUACAUUUUUAAUCUUUCCUAAGAUUUAAUUAAAAACUUAAAUUGCUUCCAAGAAAUUACAAAUCAUUGCAGACGCAAAUCGAUCUACGAAGCAAAUUAACCUCUUUUUUUUUUUUUAAAAAAAAUAUAGCACGUUGUCUGCUUCAUUCAUUUCGAAAAUGAACUUAGCUACAAAUAGUGGGACAACAUAGCCUCAAAAAGAAAAAUAAAGAUCAAAGAAAAAAAAAGAAAGAAAAAUAACAGUAAAAGUAAUCGACAGGUUAUUCAGCUUAAUAAAAGUCCCUCAACUCUCUUACCAAUUCCUUGAUACGCCCAGGUGGAGAGGGUUGGCAAAGUGGUUAUUAAAAAUCGCGUUAUUUCUUUCCUUCCAGAUUAGCCACCAGCACGCUGCUACAGUAAUCAGAUCCUGCAGAAUCUCCCCCGACUUAAUAUUUUUUAUCAUUUUACUCCAUACGUCCUCCACCGUUGGGGGUUAAGGGGUGGAAUAAUCCCUUAACCCCUAUAUUAUCCCCAAAUAUCUCCAAAAAUGUGUAGAGUUAGCUAACCCUACCUCAAAUGGGUUAUUCCGGGUUAACUAACCCUACCUAACUCCACAAAACUCCAACCAAACACUAUUUUCUAUUCAAAAUAACCUACUAUUCUUCUUAUCCCAGCUAUUCCAACCAAAUACUAUUUUUCACUAUCCUGAACUAACUCCAACCCCCAACCAAACACAAAAAUACUCUAACCCCACCUAAACCCUGAACUUAAUUCUAUUUCUGGAAUAACUAGUUUUUCUUUAACCCCGAACCAAACAAUAGAUGUCCUCUAAGAUUAAAAAACUUAACUCAAUACACCUCUAAAGAGAAGCACAAGCCAAAGAUCCCAAACUGCUGGGAAAAGAAGCAGACGCACAACCCAUCUCACGUGGGCCAGAUUUAAUUUAUACAUGCAAAUAUUAAACCACCAAACGCAAAGAAAACGUGGGGUGUGGGGUCUUGUGACUUGUGAGUAAAUAAAUAGUUUAAGUAGAUAAGAUAAAUAAAUAAAUUAAUAUAUAUAUAUAAUAAUAAUUAUUAUUAUAAUUAUAAAACCCAUUCUUCUAGAUGUUCAACGUGGGAAAAGCUAAUUUUAGUUGCGGUUCGAAGAAGCUGCUUCUACUAUUAUUAUUAUUUUCUCUUUCGCAUUCAAUGAGAACAUGCAUUUGUUUGUUACGUAAAAUGUAAUGUAUUUAUGAUCUUAUUCUAAUGCCAAUAAUAUCGUUUACCUUGACCUUCAUAUCAUCGUUUGAUCUUUGGAUAAUUGGAUGGGUACUUUGGUGGUAGUUAUAAUUAAAAGAUAAAAAAGAAAUUUUGUAUGGACUCUUCUUUUUCUUUGCACGAAAAAAGUUUGACCUUUUCUCGUAGAACUUUUGACCUCAAGGUUAUAACUAAAACGCAUGUUUAAAGUUUUUUUUUUUAUGUUGGGUGGAGAUUUUUUUGAGUGUUGGGUGGAGAUUUUUUCUUUUUUUUUUCUUUCAAUAUAACAAUUAUUUUAUAUAAAAAUAAUAGUGUCGAGUCAAAAGUUGCCAUUUUGUUUAGAAGUAAAAAAAAAAAAAUUAUUUUUUUAUGUUGUUGUGGAGUGAAAACGUAUAAAAUUUAUUUGAACUAUAGAUCAUUUUAAAUUGAUUGUCUAAUUUUUUAAACUUUUGAUUUUACCAUCCAACCUUUCAAUUUAUUUAAUUUGAGUCAGCCAGUUUAACCGCAUUUAGACAUCAAAAUUUAAACUAAUUACUUAAGUAAAUUUAUAGUUACGAGAAUUGAAUGAAAUAUAUAUAUAUAUAUAUACUAAUUAAAUUCGUAAAGAUAAACAACACAUUUCAAACUGAAUCAAAUCAAAUAAAUUGAAAGAUUGAAUAGUAAAAUCAAAUUUUAAAAGACUGGAUAGUCAACUCAAAUCUUUUUAUAAUUUAAGUAAGUUCUGUACAUUUUUUUUUCUUUUUUUUUUUAAUAAGACUCUUCAUCAUUUUAUGCGGCUAAAUAUGUUUUUGUUAGUUAUAGCUCCUGCUUAAAUUAAACCACUUCUUGUGACAUGUACUUUUCCAUUUGCAAAAUAACUUAAAACAAGAAUUGAAAAAUAUAUAGAGUCAAAAAUGCUUCUAGAAUUUCCGUACCUUAGUAUCCGAAAUUUCAAGUUUAAAACAUAAUUGUUUCGUAUUUCUAGCUGAAUUCAUUUCUAAACAAAAUGAAAGAAGCAAAAAGCUUAUUUUUGUUCUCUCUCAAAACAAAAACUAAUUAAAAUCAACAAAAUAUCACAUUUAAAAUUCAGAAGGAUUUAAUUAAUAAAAAUUGCUACAAUUUUUUUUCUUUUUUUAGAUGACAUUAUCUGAGUAAUACUCUUGCCGAAGCUUUGUAAAAAUAAGUUGACCUUCCAACCCUUUCUAAAUACCAAAAAGAGAGAUAAAAAGAAACAAAAAAAAUCCUAAUAAUGCACAAAAAAUAAUUAUUUAAAUUUUACUUUACAAAAAAUGUAUCAUCCAAUUAUCAAAGAACUAAGAAAUAUUCCACCAAUUAAUAAUGUUAUCAAAAAUCAAAAGCUUUAUGAUUCACGCGUUGCUUUCCACCCAACAACCCCCUCAUUGUUUUUUUGUUUUUUUUUUUUUAUAAUUUUGCACAUGACCUCCUCUUAUAAAUAAAUACUAUAUAUAAUAUUUUAAUCCCAAAAAAAAAGAGAACACAGUGUGACCCGUGUGCUUCUAGAAGAUGGUCCCACAUGUCAGUCUCACAAAAUUUGCCAUGCAAUAAUCAAUCAUCUAACUCUUCCCUGAACUAUUCUGAUAUUGCAAUUUGGUCCCUACAAUUUUUGAUCUAUAUAUAUGAUGGUGUGGGUUAAAAAGCUGAAAGUGAAAAUACUAUUCAUCUACUAUUAAUAAUACUCUAGCUGUAUUUCCUAUACUAUUAAUUAAUAGUUAAUUAUUAAUGAGCUUCUGUAAAAAUUUUAUGUCUCACAUAAUACAAUACAUAAAAUGAAAAAAUCAUUAUAGAUGAGCUAUCUAAAUUUUAUCACUAUAAAAAUUUCAUAUCUGCAGUAUCACAGAGCUCUUCACUAGUUCAAUAAAAAAAAAAAAAAUUUAACCACCUGUAGUUAGCACUUAAAAUUUUUUUUUUUUGAGAUAAAAAUAGUAUUUUACUAGUGCUUCAUUCAUUAAGAAAGUAAAUUAAGUAACAUGAUAAAACAGCAAGCAAGGCUUCAAGAAAAAAUAAAAAACUUUAAGUGCAAUAAACCUUUCGCUGAUCCCUACACGAGCGUGUAUCCACCAACAACUGUCACAGCGUACCCUUUUUUUUUUCUCAAUGAUUCUUCUAUUUCGCUCCAGCCAAAUAGCAUUUUGAGAUUCUAAGAUCAAAACCGAAUUACUUUACGUCCAAAGAGCAAAGAAACCGAAUUACGAUAUCAUAAUAGUGCAGGGACUAUCCCCACAUUUCACCCCCAAACUAGAUUCGCAUGUUUUUCCCUAAACAAUAAAUAAAUAAAUAAAUAAAAGCCCUAGAAAGUCAACACAACUAUAGUAGUCCAUUUUUGACCGUUGGCGUUACGCUUUGUAUUCAAACCGUAGACCAUUCAAAAACAUUCCAACCUUUACGGGCUCUCUCUAACGUGCGCCGUGCGCGUUUCUCUCUCUCUCUCUCUCCCCCCCCCUCCCUUUUAAAAACUCCUCACUCCAACAUUCCCUCUCAUUAGCGGUAGUAGUACCCAUUCUCAUCUCAACCCCUUGAGAGAGAGAGAGAGAGAGAGGAAAGAAGAAGCCCUCUCGAUUCAAUCCCCAAGGCCUCAAAAAUCCCUUCUUUUUCGUGUUGAUUCCAUCGUUUUCAGAGAGAGAGAGAGAGUGAGAGAGAGAGAGAGAGAGAGAGGAAAGAAGAAGCUCUCUCGAUUCAAUCCCCAAGGCCUCAAAAAUCCCUUCUUUUUCGUGUUGAUCCCAUCGUUUUCGUAGAAUUUUGAUCUCUUUUUCGAUUCAAAUCGCCUUGGUUUUCAAGAAAAAAAAAGGAGAGUGGACAGAGAGAGAGAGAGAGAGAGAGAGAGAAAAGAACAGCAAUUUUCUUUGCAAUUUCCAUCAAUCUCCUGCAAAUUUGAUCCCUCUUUCGAUUGAAAUCGCCUUGUUUUCGAGAGAGAAGGAGAGUGGAGAGGGGAAAAAACCCGAUUUUUCUGUUUUGAUCUCUUUCUCACCUUAGAGAGAGUAAAGAGAGCCUCUUCAAUUCAAUCCCUGAAGCUUCAAAAUCUCAAAAAAGGGGGAAAAAAACCUUUUUGUUUGGGUGUUAAUUAAAGUUGAUCUUGUUUGGGUUGAAGCAGUAAAGAUUUGAUAUGGAGACAGGCGCGGAGGGGUAUGGGAUCGCGAGCCUGCGGAUGAACAGCUCGUCGAUCUUCCAGCGGGGCGCGAGCUCCUCGAUCUUCCGGCGGGGGGACGACGUCUUCUCGAUGUCGUCGCGCGACGAGGAUGACGAGGAGGCCCUCAAGUGGGCGGCGCUCGAGAAGCUGCCGACCUACAGCCGGAUGCGCAAGGGGAUCUUUUUUGAUGAGGGGAUCCGCAAGGAGAUCGACAUCGACAGCUUGGGGUUCCAGGAGAAGAAGAAGCUGCUCGAGAGGCUUGUUCACGUCACGGAGGAGGAUAAUGAGAGGUUCCUGUUGAAGCUCAAGGAUCGGAUCGAUCGGUGAGGAGUUCUACAAUUUUUUUUUUCUUUUAUCGUCUUGAUCCAUUAGUGGAUUUUACUUAGAUUUUGGUUAUGUUCAACUAUCAAUCCUCAAGUUUUAGGAGCAAAUUAAAACCGCGCAAUAAGGUUAAGGAUCCACCCCAGUGGGAGUAACCAUCCCUUAGAUUAUGUUGUGGCAAUUAUGUUUUGAUGAAGCCCAACAUAUAUUUGAUGAAAUUCCUGUAUGAAUCUUCAGAGUCGGACUCGAUUUCCCGACGAUUGAGGUGCGGUACGAGCACCUCAACAUCGAGGCUCUUGCUUACGUGGGAAACAGAGGUCUCCCCUCAUUCCUCAAUUCAACACUCAAUGCUCUUGAGGUACUUUUCUUAUGGGAACCUGUUAAUGCGCAAGUUGUUCCUUUUUCUAUUGAGUUAGUCAUGUUCAAUUCAUCUUGGUUUCUAUGAUUUUAGGCCGUGGCCAAUGUUCUACAUUUAGUUCCGAACAAGAAGAGGCCGUUAAACAUUCUUCACGACGUUAGCGGAAUCAUCAAGCCAAGGAGGUAUACAAAGAAAAAAUUCAUCUUGGAAUCAAGCUAAUUCUUUUUGUUGUUUCCACUGAAAAAAUAUACAAAAAAUAUGAAUUUCAGGAUGACUUUGCUCUUGGGUCCUCCGGGCUCAGGGAAGACCACGCUGCUUUUGGCUCUGGCCGGAAAGCUUAGCUCGGAUUUAAAGGUCGAGAAUUUGGGUUUAUUGAAAAUCUCUUCAAUUUCUUUCCAAUCAACAUCUUGGUCUGAGUUGAAACUCACAAAGAAUCUUCUUUUAUAAUCGAAAAAUGAUAAACAGGUCUCGGGUAGGGUGACUUACAAUGGCCAUGAGAUGAAUGAGUUUGUCCCUCAGAGAACAGCAGCCUAUAUAAGUCAGCAUGAUUUGCACAUUGCGGAGAUGACGGUGCGAGAAACCCUUGCUUUCUCUGCUCGGUGCCAGGGAGUCGGUACUCGAUAUGGUAAGUAUAACUUCUUCAAUUUCGUUGGCAUAGUUAGCUCAUAUCAUAUGUACUUCUUCAAUUUCGUUGGCAUAGUUAGCUCAUAUCAUAUGUUCUAGGUUUAAUUUGACCAAAUAUUAAAAUUUUGACCUUAAUGUACAGAUAUGUUAACUGAGCUUUCUAGAAGGGAGAAGGCCGCAAAUAUCAAGCCCGACCCUGACAUUGAUGUCUACAUGAAGGUGAGCUUCAGAGUUCUUUCAAUAGUUCUUUGUACUUCUAAAGUCUCUCUCUUUUAGAUAUAUACAGUUGAAUGAAUUAAUUCAAUUAGAAAUUUCGUUUGUGUUCUUAUGGAAGAGAUUGUUCUUCGUGCAAAUUGAUUUAAAUUGCAGGCAGCUUCAAUGGGAGGACAGGAAACAAGCAUAAUUACUGAUUACGUGCUCAAGGUAUUGCAUCUUGUGAAGAAGUUCUACGUGGUUAUUGAAAGAUAUCGUUAAAUUACACAACCUAAAUCUCAUGUUUAUGCCUAUGCAGAUUUUAGGUUUAGAUAUAUGUGCCGAUACCAUUGUAGGAAAUGAAAUGUUGAGAGGAAUCUCUGGAGGACAAAGAAAGCGUGUCACGACUGGUAAUUUUUUUUUUCCUUCAUUAUUCUGAUCUUUUAUAUUAAUAUGCACUACACCUAUAUACUGAUCUUUAUUGCUGUUUUUCCAUCCCAAAAUGUAUUUUACAGGCGAGAUGAUUGUCGGACCAGCAAGAGCUCUGUUCAUGGAUGAGAUAUCCACUGGUCUUGACAGCUCCACAACAUUCCAGAUAGUAAAAUCUCUCAAGCAAAUGACCAACAUUCUUGGUGGCACGACCGUAAUUUCCUUGCUUCAGCCUGCUCCGGAGACUUACGACCUUUUCGACGACAUAAUCCUCCUCUCAGAUGGGCAGGUUGUGUACCAAGGCCCGCGCGAGAACGUGCUUGAGUUCUUUGAGUCCAUGGGGUUCAAGUGCCCUGAGAGGAAGGGCGUCGCUGACUUCUUACAAGAAGUAAGUUAACUAGUAGAUGGUUGCUUUCCUGUAUUCUGUAUCUGCUUUUUUGAGGCUUCGCUUCUUGAAGAGCUCGUCUACUUCAGAAAAGCAGAGUUUUUCAUAAACCAAGUGUUUGGCUAAUUAAAAGUCCAGAGCAUGUGCUGUUGCAGAAGUUAAAAUAUUCUACGCUUGAAACAGAAAGUCACUAGCGUUUGUUAGGAGAAUUUGAUUAAAAAAAAAUUUGUUAGUGUUAUAUUCAUAUAGCUCUACUCAAAUAUCAAUUUUGCAGCAGAAGAUCCAGCUUGGCCGAAUGGCCCUAAAAACUAUUCCUAAAUUGAACAGUGACAGCAAGUAUAUAAUCCCCUUUCUUUUGUAAAUUAUAGGUGACUUCAAGGAAAGAUCAGCAUCAGUAUUGGGUACGCCAUCCCGAGCCGUACCGAUACGUUCCCGUGAGGGUGUUCUCAGAGGCGUUCCAGUCGUUCCAUGUCGGUGAGAAGCUUGGGAGAGAGCUUUCGGUCCCAUUUGACAAGAGCAAGAGCCACCCGGCUUCUCUCACUACAUCAAAGUAUGGCCUUAGAAAGAAGGAGCUGCUAAAAGCUUGCGCGGCUAGGGAGUUCUUGCUAAUGAAGAGAAAUUCAUUUGUGUACAUAUUCAGGGCUGUUCAGGUUGGCAAUUUUAGUAUUACAAUUACCCUAUGUUUCAAUCCAUGUUAUAAUAAAUUAUGUGCCGCUAAUAAAACUUGGUAAUUCUUUGACUGCAGCUCACUUUUUUGACAAUCAUUCUAAUGACACUCUUCUUAAGAACCCGCAUGCACCAUAGGGAUGUGAAUGAUGGGGUGGUUUUCAUGGGUGCUCUCUUCUUCUCUAUUAUAGUCCACAACUUCAAUGGCUUCUCUGAGCUCGCCUUGACCACCAUUAAGCUCCCUGUCUUCUUCAAGCAACGGGACUACCUCUUCUUCCCUGCAUGGGCGUAUUCUAUACCAACAUGGAUCCUUAAGUUUCCUGUUUCGAUGAUCGAGGCAGCGGUCACGGUGUUCUUGAAUUACUAUGUAAUUGGUUUUGAUCCAAACAUAGGAAGGUUAGUUUGAUGGACCGAAAAACAAAAGCUAAUUUCAUUUAUACUAAAAAGUUUGAAAUAACUCGGGUGUAUCGGUAAAGAUACAUAAAUACUCAAAAAGUAUCCCUUUCGGAGAGCAUUUAUGAAAACGGCAAGUGUAUUUUCUCCGGCACUUGUGAUAUUUUAUGUGCUUUUUUUAUUAUUUCGAUAAAUAAAAGGGCACUUUCGAUACCUCUAACUUUUUGAGGGCAUCUAGGGAAUCAUAUAAUUCGAGAGUUAUGAAAGUAAUUUUGCCAAGAAGCCAAGAUCCUGCUCAAAUUCUGUGUUUCUUCUACUAAUUUUAAGAGAUUUUGUUGUUAUUGCACAGGCUGUUUAAGCAGUAUCUGCUGCUUCUCUUUGUCAAUCAAAUGGCUGCUGGGCUCUUUAGAUUGGUCGCAGCAUUAGGCAGGAUCAUGGUUGUCGCGAAUACAAUUGCAUCCUUUGCACUUCUGGUGAUGCUCGUUUUCAGUGGAUUCAUCUUAUCGCAUGGUAAGAUUUAAUAAAUUUUUGUAAACUGGUAAUUUUUGCCACUUUAAAUGCAUGUACUUAUCAGUUUUAUGUAUGAAUAUAUUGACAGAUAAGAUUAGGAAUUGGUGGAUCUGGGGUUACUGGAUCUCCCCCCUCAUGUAUGCACAGAACGCAAUUUCAGUGAACGAGUUCCUAGGACACAAAUGGAGACAUGUAAGAGAAUCUAACUUGAACGAGAGAGAGAGAGAGAGAGAGAGAGAGAGAGAGAGAGAGAGAGAGAAGGAGAAAACUCUUUUUUCCAUUUUAGUAUCUGAAAUAUAUAUAUAUAUUUUCAGAUUGAUCCUGCAACAAAUGAGACACUUGGCGUAGCAGUCUUGAAAUCACGCGGAAUGUUUACAGAAGCAAAAUGGUAUUGGAUUGGUCUCGGUGCAUUAGUUGGUUUCGUUCUCGUCUUCAACUUUCUCUUCACGGUGGCACUGUCCUAUCUAAAAUGUUAGUGUCGAUGAUUUUCCAUUCUGUUUUCAAAAUUUUCCAUGGAUUUUAUUAAAUUUGGUUCUGAAAAUUUUCUUUUGAUGCACUCAUGCAGCAUUAGGGAAGGCUCAGCCUAUUCUAACUGAAGAAGCAAUUAAGGAGAAGCAUACAAAUAUUACUGGGGAAAUGCUGGAAAUGGAAACCAUAGGGCAAGCCUCCGAUAGCGUCUCUUCGUCCAGAGGUUAGUCUAUUACAUCUAUAUAUAUAUGUAGCUUCUAUUUUACACAUAUUUACAAUUAAAGGUUCUCAUCUAUUUUUGACAAUUGUGUACAAUAGGAAACGCUAGAAAUGCUAGGAAUAGUGCUUCAUCAAGGACAACAGCUGAGGAUUCUAAUCAGAAUAGGAGAGGAAUGGUUCUUCCAUUUGCGCCACUUGCAGUUGCUUUUGAUGAUAUAAGAUACUCGGUCGACAUGCCGCCGGUACUUUCUCUUGAUAGAUUACACUAUCUAUACAAUUCUAUGUAAAUCUAAGAGCAACGGGGCAUGUAUGGUGCUCAUUUUUUUUCACGAUUUUGCUUCUUACUCCCUCAAAAUUUUCAUGCAAUUGCAGUCCAACUUCCUUUAUCUCACGCGCUCUGCACGUGAUUCUUGUUUUGCAUAUUGACCGUUUAGCCCCCUGUUUUUGUCAACCGAGUUUAAAAGGGAUAGAAUGGUCAUUUUAUAUGAAAAGGAUAUUUGGUCCGCAAAAGGAUCAUCAGGGAUGCAAUUGUUAAAUGUCAGAAAAUUCAGGAACUAAGUAUGAAAAUUUUGAUAGUAUAGGAAUUAUCCUUACAUUUUACCCCAGAUUUAAGGCCCAAAUAGGGUUUUCUAACAUGAUUUUUGUACAUCAGGAAAUGAAAGCACAAGGAGUUCAAGAGGACAGGCUGCUGCUACUCAAAGGAGUCAGUGGGUCUUUCAGGCCGGGUGUUCUUACUGCUCUCAUGGGUGUAAGUGGAGCUGGAAAGACUACACUUAUGGAUGUCUUAGCCGGUAGGAAAACCGGAGGGUACAUAGAAGGAAACAUCACCAUUUCUGGCUAUCCCAAAAAGCAAGAAACCUUCGCUCGUGUUUCCGGUUACUGUGAACAAAAUGAUAUCCACUCUCCUAAUGUGACGGUCUAUGAAUCACUCGUCUACUCCGCGUGGCUCAGACUGCCUCCUGAAGUUGAUUCCGAGACCAGAAAGGUUUGUUCUCGAUCGGUAGAUGGUUAAUUCUUCGUGGCGCAGUUUGAUCACUAGUUUAAAGUCAACACUAUGUUUGAUUCGACAUUACAGGAAUAAUUGUAAUCACAAGACAACUACAAUGAUUGCGAGGAUAAAUAGAGAUAAAGUAUAGGACAAUGUUAUUCAAGUGAUGAGAUGAGAUAGUUGUUCCCGAGUUAUUUUAUAACAACCUGUUUCGGCCAAAACAACUAUGGAGUUAUUUAGCUAUUAUUGCUGAAACAAAAGGAGCUAUUGUUUGCUAUUUAUACUCAAAAAAAUAGUUUUAUUCUUUUGCAGAUGUUCAUUGAAGAGGUGAUGGAACUAGUAGAGCUUAAUCCAGUGAGAGAAGCACUCGUUGGAUUACCUGGUGUGAACGGCUUAUCAACGGAGCAAAGAAAGCGGCUUACGAUUGCUGUGGAGCUUGUGGCCAACCCUUCGAUCAUAUUCAUGGAUGAGCCCACUUCUGGACUAGAUGCGAGGGCCGCAGCCAUAGUUAUGAGGACUGUGAGAAACACCGUCGACACUGGUAGAACUGUCGUUUGCACAAUUCACCAGCCUAGUAUUGAUAUUUUUGAAGCUUUUGAUGAGGUAAGGAUUUUCUUUUUUAUUUCAGUCGCACUACUAAUUUUGAGUUCCCUUAGAUAAAUGUGGAAAAAAAAAAAAAGAGAUUUAAGGUGUCUAUGUUACUUUUCAUAUUUAUUUAUCUUGUCUGUGAUUUAGCAUACCUAAAGUCUUUCUGAUAAAGACAAGUAAAACACACAUCAUUUUUAUUUUAACCACUGCUUAUAAGUGAGAUUGCAUAAAUUUACCUGCAAAGUUGGUAUCUACAUGCAUGUCUUUGAAAAUCAUAUUUAUUUGCUUUCUUGUCCCUGCCAAUGUAUACAUGCAAAAACUGUUUCUGCAUAGAUACCUCCAGCAGGGGCACGAGCGCACAUGCCAGCUUUGCAAGGGUUGUUGUGCAACGUUACAUAUUUGUAGGGUGUAUAUAUAUGCAAAAAAUCAAAGUAAACAUUCGAAAAACACAUCUAUAACUCUUUAUCAGUUUGUGUGAUGUUCAUAUUUUUAUUUGUGCCACAAUUGCAGCUCUUUCUAAUGAAGAGAGGUGGAGAAGAGAUAUAUGUGGGCCCACUAGGACACCAUUCUGUUCAUCUGAUCAAUUAUUUUGAGGUGAGGCAACCGAGAAAAACUACACUUUAUAUUCUUCCAUUUUUCUGAAACCUUAUUUGUGAGUCUAAAUGUGGCCUUCUUUUUCAAAUUUAGGGAAUUCGAGGGGUUAGUAAGAUCAAACCAGGGUAUAAUCCUGCAACAUGGAUGUUGGAAGUGAGCUCACUGGCCCAAGAAGAGAUAUUGGGUGUCAACUUCACUGAAACAUACAAGAACUCAGAACUGUAUCAGUAAGUGAAUUGCUUACCCUUUUUUUUCACUUGAAUCCUGAGUAAACUUAAAUUUGCAACGAGUUAUUAAUUUGGUGUUGUUUUGCAGGAGAAACAAAGCAUUGAUUAAGGAACUAAGCGCACCCCCUCCUGGUACCAGUGAUCUAUAUUUCGCGUCUCAGUAUUCUCAAUCCUUUUUCUCUCAAUGCAUGGCUUGUCUUUGGAAACAAUACUUAUCGUAUUGGAGGAACCCUCCGUACACUGUCGUGAGGUUCUUCUUCUCUCUCAUUGUUGCCUUCAUGUUCGGCACAAUAUUUUGGCGCCUCGGUAACAAAUGGUAACUAUUGUCCUUGACCCGUUUUUAUGUUUUUGGAUGUCAUUUAUCUAACAAAUUUGUCCGGAACAUAUUUGUAUAGUGUUGAGCUUAGGCUCGAGAGUAUUUGAUUUUUUAUCUGCCGUGUCAAUUGCACAUCAUGGAUGUACUUUCUAUGAUUUGAUUAUUCCCGGUACGUGUCAAGAUUCUUGGUUUUAACUGAUGCACCUGUGAAUCGUGAUGCGAAAAGCAAUACUCUCGAUUAGCCUAGUUCAACUCUAUAUACACAAUUUCAUUAUUUUUUAUCUCUUUUAGAUUCAAAACAUUCAUCCAGCGACAAAAACUUUGAUGUAGGGAAACACAACAGGAUCUAUUCAACGCCAUGGGCUCAAUGUAUGCUGCUGUUCUGUUCAUGGGAAUCUCAUACGCCUCUUCGGUGCAACCUGUCGUUGCCAUUGAAAGAACGGUCUUCUACCGAGAAAGAGCCGCAGGAAUGUAUUCGGCAUUGCCGUAUGCAUUUGGACAGGUAAAUUUAUUUAUCAUUCAUAAUAAUAAGCACUUCUUUUGUGAGAAGUUGCCCAGAAUUCAUUGUAAUAAUGAAAGAAGAGAACAUAAGAAUAAAAGAGAAAAGAGGUACAAAUUAAGCUUCUCGCACAAUAAGACUAUUACCAACUAGAUGUUGUUUUAAGAAGUCAAAAAUGAGCUUCCAGUCUUCUAGCCAUGAAAAGCAGCAGCUCAGUAUGUAGCUUCUGCUUCUAGCUACGGCGAGAGGCUGUAAGGAAAAUUAUAAUGAAAAAAAAAAAGCCAUUAGGGCUUUUUCAAAUAAUGUCUCUACUCAAGAAGCAGAAUCCAAGUACUUCGAUUGAGAAAGCCAAAUAAGCUCCUAGCUGUCAAAAUCAGAAGUUUCAAUUUGGAGCUUUUCCUUCUAGCUAGAGCCAGAAGUUGUUAAUAGAAUUAAUAUUUUUUAAAAAAAAAAAAAAAACCAUCAGUGUUCCUUUGAACACUUGUGCAGUAGAACAUGAGGAUUGAUGUAAGCUAAAUACUCGCAGGUUUCAAUCGAACUACCAUACGUCCUAAUCCAAUCACUGAUAUACGGAGUUAUAGUGUACGCCAUGAUCGACUUCAAAUGGACUGCGGCAAAGUUCUGUUGGUACAUAUUCUUCAUGUACUUCACACUCCUCUACUUCACAUUCUAUGGGAUGCUCUGCGUCGGAGUUACUCCAAAUUACAACAUUGCCUCCAUUGUUUCCUCUGCAUUCUACGGCAUCUGGAAUUUGUUCUCCGGGUUUAUUAUCCCCAGACCUGUAAGUUUCUCUAUCUAAUUUAUAUCCAUUUUUGGUUAUAUUUAUAGGUAAAAUUUUAGGAACUUCCAAAUUAUCAUGAUUUGGUCCCUAUAUUUCUAUCUGCAGUCAUGUAAAAUGACCUUUUAACUCCCCUUAAGUCUAAACCGUAUAUGGAUCGAUGACAAUGAUCUAGUUCAUACUAUAUGAGAUCAAGCACCAUAUUGCAAUAUUUCAAAAUUUUCGCACUAUCCUUGCACGUAUUCUUUCAUGCAACUACCACAACAAUUUCGAACACAAAACAAGAACAUGACCUUAAUUUAAACAAAUAUAUCACAUACUUAUUGAGAGAAACGCAAAAUCAACACAGCAGGAACCUAUCAAACAUGAAACAAGUAAUUGUUUUGGACUUUUAGGAUCCGUUUCUUCAAAUUGACAUGUCUAUCGAACAUGAACACAACUAAGCAAACCUCAACUGCCACCCCUACAUUCAACUAGUACUUGUUUUUACUGAAAACAAUAUUAAAUUGAUUAGUUUUAAUGAGCAGAUUCUAAUUUUCUGUUUUUCCAUUUAUUUUGCAGAGGAUGCCAGUGUGGUGGAGGUGGUACUCGUGGGCGUGCCCCGUAUCGUGGACGCUGUACGGAUUAGUCACGUCGCAGUUUGGUGACAUACACGACACCAUGACCAACGACAAAGAGGUAUCCCAGUUUUUGAAGGACUACUUCGGGUUCCAUCACGACUUUCUGCCCGCAGUUGCCGUCGCUGUUGUCGGUUUUGCUGCCCUCUUCGCCUUUUUAUUCGGCUUUUCCAUCAAGGUCCUCAACUUCCAACGGCGAUGAUCAUGAUCUCCCGUUUUGAUAUUCGAAAAAGUGGAAACUAUUGUUAGACAAUUUUCUUUUUUUCUUUUCUUUUCCUUUCCUUUCUUUUUGAGAGAGAACAACAAGAUUUGAGUAGCACUAGUUACAUGUAUAGUCCUCAUUUUCUUGGCAUUCUUAUGUAUAAUAGAGAUGAUUAAUUGACACAAAGAAUGUGUUGUAUUAAAACGUACUUAUUCAAUAAAGGACCAAUUAAGUGCAUCAUAUUCAUGCUCAUUAAGAGCUUUCGUACUCGUCGUGUAGUCUGUUUAUCCCAAUCGGAGAUUCUACAAAAGUGUUGUUCAUUAAUAAUAUUUUAAUAGUUCAUAUGUGCCAAUAAAACAUUACGAGACCUUAGUUUUCAGUUUUAGGGUUUAUAAGAGUCUCAAUUUAAAAUUUAAAAUUUAUGAGAGAAGGUGAUCAAAUGUUUGAAUAUAAGAGUUCCUUAUAGAAUAUCUAAAUAGUAACAACGGGAAUUCUAAGUAAGACAAAAAGAAUCGUAACGCAAAAAUAUAUGAUAAACCAAAGGGAUAUUUAAAGUUAAUAUCAAUCACCAGCUAGCCUAGCAGUUGUUAUGUGGAUUGCUGAUCAAGAGGUUAGUAUUUAAUCUCCCGCUUGUGUGUUUAUAAGAGAAUCUACAAACACGUGAGCUCCGAAAAUAAUCGAAAAAAAGGUUUUAAAAGUUUCUUAUUAUGAUCCUAAUAAGUUCAAUUUGAAUCGUUCUGACCCGCUAGCACGAAAUAUUUAAGUUCAGUUAUUAUUACUAGAGUACGAGACCUCAUAUAUUAUGCUUAAACUCAGUUAUGUUUAGACCUCGAAAUCCCAACCCGCUAGCAAUAAUAACUCGAUGUGCUUAAAUGCAGAACAAAAUGCUUAAUCUUGAAUCAAAACUCCUUUCCUAUCUGAUAUGGGACUAUUGGCGCAAGCGUUACAUAAUUAUAGGCAACAGAUUCAAACAGAGGAUGUUCUAUAUAACCAUGGCCACAUAUUUUUCCAAGUUUUUAGACUAGGUCAAUCAUAUAAGGGUGUUAAUUAAUUAAUGUGGGUUCCUUUCAAUCCUAAUUCAUGGCCAUCCAUUUUUAAAUUGAUAUACAAAUGAAAGGACCACAUGAUUACAUGAUUUAAAACGCCACCAAGCAAGAUUGUGAUUUAAUAGCUGUGAUUUUGACCUCCAACCAAACUCCUAAAAACAAAAAAAAAAAAAAAGAGAAAAAACCACAAGAAAUUUUGUUGUACUUGAAAUUUACACAAGUAUGAAAUCAUGCUUUAAUUGUAAAUCAAAUUAUACAUAGGGAAACCCCAUUAUAGAAAAGUAUUGUGAUUGAGAACAUGUAAAAUUUGAAUACAUGAAUGAUUAUUCAGCUAAAUUUGUUAGUGCGUUCUUAACCUAAACCAGGACCAACUAAAAUUAAUUCAACAAAAUACAAAAAAAAAACAACAAAAAUUAGGAUCCUGAUUGAGUAACAAACAUGAACAUUGUGUUAUAAGUAGGAGAAUACACUCAUGGUGCAACUCACCUUUAAUUUACCAGUUCGAUCACAAAGUGCAUAUAUAUAUAGACAUAUAUAUGUAGCAAAUCCAAAAGAAACACAUAUACAUAUACACCACAUAUAAACAUAAAUACCUAAAUGUGAAUUAAUUACGAGAGAACAAACGCUACAAAAAUGGCUAGCAAAAUUGCACCCAUGCACGUAACAGUAGCCGACGCAACCGCGACCGCCGCCGCCGAAGGAACGAGCGGGUGCUUGUAGUAGAAAGGGAAGUAGGGGAGGAUCGGGUCGGGGGGCGGAGGCGCGGGGUAAGCGUAGGAGGGGGGAGAGUAGGAGUACGGCGGCAGCUGAGGAGGAGGAGGAGGGUAACCGUAGGCGGUCGGAGCGUAGGGCGGUGGCGGAGGAGGGUAGUAGUUGCCUGCGACGGAGGUCGGCGGAGGUAGGCACGGGUACGGGCACUCGGUCGACGAGCCGUCGUCGGAUGUGGCUGGUGUGGGGGUGGUGAUGAGGAGGAGGAGGAGGAGGAGUGUUAGGGUGGUGGUGAUCAAUUUGGAGAUGGCCAUGGAGUGAGGUGAGGGGCUUGACAUGGUGAGAGAAAGAGAGAGAGAGAGAGAGAGAGGUAUCAAGAAAAUAUGAUCACCUAAUAAUAAGGGAGGAGAGAGGAGAGAGGAGAGAGAGAGAGAGAUUUGAAUGAAAAAUAAAAUACAAUGAUCACCUUAUGAUUGAGAUAUAGAUAUAUAGAGAGAGAGAGGGAAUAGGGGAGAGUUGAUAUAUCAUCAAUUAUGAGAGAGAGAGAGGAUCACCUUGUGAGAAGGUGAGAAGGCUAGAGAGAGAAAGAGAGAGGAUCACCUUAAUUGUAAAAAGAAAAAGAAACAGUCACUGAAAAUAAAAGUUAUCUUAUUUUAUCAGAAUAUUUUUAUAAAAAAUUUAAUCACAUUCAGAAAGAUUUUUUAUAUACAGACAGUUUAAUUAAUUGUUCAUCACUGUUUUAACGUUCGUAUAUUACAUAUGAUGAAUAAUUAACUGGCUGACUAUUUCGUGGAGGAAAGAUUUUUAAAAAAAUUUUAUUUAUUUUUUAAGUAAAAUUAUAAAGAACAUAUUUAAUGCUUUUAAUAUUUUUGUUCACAAAGUAAGAGAUAGAAAGAGAGAGUAAAAUUGAGAGGAGAGAGAAAGUAGUUGGUAGAGAGAGAAAAAGUAUGGAAGUGGGUUUAGUGGGAGAGAGAGACAACACAAUUAAUGGUGAGGUGGCAACCACUAGAAGCUUAAGGGAUGAAUGUUUUUGUCCCUUUUAACUCCAAAAGCCAACAAAUUGAGAAGAUGAUGCAAUAUUUGUCCAUUUCAAUUUUCCAAUUUUCAACUCAACUUGUUUUGACUUUGGUUAAAAUUAAUUUUGAUUUAAAUCAAAUCGACAAUUUUAUUUUGAUUUAAACUAGAAAUUAUGGUUUAUUUUUCUAAUGACAAAUCGAAGAGCUAAUACAAGCCAAAAUUGCCCCGAAGUGUUAUAUAUAUAUAUAUAUCAAGUUAAUUUUAGAAACUUAAGUUAAACAAUCAAAUUACUAAACUAUAAAGUUUAUUUUGAAAAAAAUUUCUUAAGAUCACUUGUCAAAUUUGUAAUUAGAAAAAUAAACCAUGAAAUGAAUAUUAUUACAGUAGAAACAUGGUGGGAGGAGAGAAAUUUUUUUGCUUAAUUUUCAAAUUAAGUAAAAAAUUUCGUUAAAAUUAANAUUUGUAAUUAUAUAUUCAUGUGAUUCAAUUGUUUUAUUUAAAACCUCCCUAGGUAAUAAAAGGUCCCUUCAUAUGUUAUGUUAAUGUCACAUUAAUUAUUAUCACAUUGAUUGCACAUAAAGCAACAUCAACGCAUUAUAGGUGUCCCAAUACAAGAUUAAGGGCACAUAGUUUAAGGAAAAUAAAAUAAAACAAAAAGAAAAAGAAAAGCAUGAAAUGAAUAUUAUUACAGUAGAAACAUGGUGGGAGGAGAGAAAUUUUUUUGCUUAAUUUUCAAAUUAAGUAAAAAAUUUCGUUAAAAUUAAUAACUUCACUAAUUAGUAAACAUUAAUAUUUUUUGCGGAUGAAUUAUUAAAUUUGAUGAAAUCACAUUUUUAAGUUAUAAUUGAAUCAAAAAUUCAUUUGAUUAAUGAAAUAACUCUUAUUAAUGUGCGCGCACACACAAAAAAAUUAUAUUUAAAUAGACACGAAAGCAUAUAUGGGGCCUUAGAGUUUUAUUGAAAAAUACUUAAUUUUAUUUUACAAUGUAUAUCAGUCGAACUUAUCAGUCCGUCAAAGGAUAGGAUGUUGACCCAUUUGAGUUAACAGAUACGACAAUAAGUAAAAUGUCACAUCGCUAUCAUAUUAACCUAAUAAUUUUUUUUAGUUAUUACGUGUUUAUAGUUUUAGGGAGUGUUUUGUUCAGCGCUUUUCAUAGUUGUCAACUAUUCUAGCAGUUGAUUCUUCUUGCAAAAAAAUGAUUACAUUUGAUAAAAUUUGAUAAUAUUGUUCAUUUAAUUGACUAAAGUUAUUUCAUUUCGAAGAAACAAUUCAAAAGUUAAAGAGGCUCGAUAUUUAAAAAAAAAAAAGUUGAGAGGGCUAUUUUAAAAAAUCCUGUAGUUGAGGGGGGUUUUCAUACAUUGUCGGGCCGGGCCUAGGGAUGUAAAACGGGCCAGGCCGCUCAUGGGCAGCCCGGCCCAGCACGGCCUCGAGCCGGGCUGUAGGACAUCUGUGCCGGCAGGCCCGGCCCGGCCCGAACUUUCGGGUCGCGCUUGGCCUCACUGUUUAGGGCCGAUGGUCCGGCACGGCACGACACAAAACGGGCCUGAGUCGUGCCAAGCUGAGAAGAGCCCGCGGCCUAGCAUGACACAGCUCACUUGGGCCGUGUCAGCCGAGCUAGCACAGCCCGGACCCCAUGGCCCAAGGCAACUUGCCUUGGGCCUAGGAGUGCGAGCUCCUGGGGAGGAGCUCACCUUCCAAGGUCUGCAGUAGGACUGUCAACGAGUCGAACACGUGUGAGCUGGAGUCGGCUCGUGUUCGGCUCGUUUCAUGAAACGAGCCGAUCUCGAGCUGGCUUAUUAACGUAUCGACCAAAAAAUUCAGCUCGUAUUCAACUCGUUUAUUAACGAGCCGAACACGAGCCGGCUCACGAACAAUAAGUUAAAAGAUUAGAAAGGAUAUAUAUAGGAUAUAAAUUUUUUAUAUCUUACUCAUUAAACUUUGAUUUAAUAAUCGAAACUUUACACAUAAAUGGAUCAUUUUACAAUUGAGUUGAAUUUUAAUAUUUAGGUUGGACUAAAUAUCAAAUAAUAAAAAUCUGAAAUAUAUAUAUAAUUAUUUAUUAUAUAUAUAAAAUAAAAUAUAUGUAUUUAAGCUGUUAUCGAGCCGAACAUGAGCGAGCUGACCCUAAUACUUGUGUUCGACUUAUUUACUAAACAAGCGAUUCGCAUUCAAGCUCAUUUCGAGCCGAAAACGAGCUAGAAUGUCAUCUAUAGUCUGCAGUGGCAGUCUGGCAGAUUUUGGGAGAAGUGGUUUUUUGUCCAAUGGAUCAACAAUUAUGGCCUAUUGAACCAAAAACUCUUUUUUUUUUUCAAAAAAUAAAUAAUAUAAUGUAUAUAUUUUUAAAAAAACAUUUUAAAAUUUGUUAGUUUAUAUUUCUUUUUUAAAAUUUUUUAAAUUUUUAAUCAAAUAUCAAUUUAACUAAAAAAUAAUAUAUUAUUCUUUUUUUAAAAUUUUACAUUUUUGAAAAAAUAUUAAAAAAAUAAAAAAUUAAGGCCGGCCCGGCCUUCUGGGCCGUGCUGGCCGGAGGAUCGUUUGCUCCGGCCCAACACGGCCCGCCCGAAUAUGAAGCCGGACCCGACUAAUUGGGCCGUGUCGGGCCGGGCUAAUAUGGCGACUAAUAUGGGCCGUGUCGAUCCGGUACGAUCCACAUUACAACCCUAGUUGGCCCAAUCCACCCCACCAGGCAAAAAAAAAAAAAAGCCCUAAUAAAAACAAAUUAACACUCGACCCCAACUCACACCUACGCAAACGCUUAGAAAUUUCUCUCUCCUUUUCAGGAUUUUUUUUUUUACUUUUUGGUGAUUUGCUCCAAUUGUUUUUAGAACAAUAAUGGCCGAUUUCCAAACCUCUACACAUCGAGAGAGGUGGAUUUUUACGCCCAAGAUUUGGUAAUUUCGUCUAGUUUUUUCCCCUAAUUUCUUUUUUUUUUUUUUUUUUUUCCUGUUUACAUUGCUAGAUGAUGUAAAAUUAUAUAGAUACUUUAGAGAGAGAAAAAAGAAAAAAAAACCAUUUUUCGUGAUUAAAUUUGCUCUGACUCACUAGAUUUCUAACAAAGUUUACUCCUUCAGGCGAAACCCCAAAUCAAAUGCGAGUAUAUUUACAUAAUUUUUGUUAAUUAGCUCGAAAAUUGAAACAAUUUGAUGGGUGUUGUGCGGGGACAUGAUAUAUUAAUUGGUUUAGGUUAAAAAGUUUAUAUUUUGAAGUAAGAUAGGGUUUGUAUUUGAAGUUAUUAGAACUAAGUUAUGUGUUCUUGUUCAUAUAUGUUUAGUUGGAGAAGCAUGAGGCUGCGAAUCAGAGAGCUGCGAAGAUGCUCGAACAGGUUCUAUUUUGCAUUGUAUAUGAGCUUUAUCUUUUAUUGCGCUAUAUUUUUCGAUAAUCUGAAAGUGAGUAGUAAUGUGUUGUUACAUAAGAAAUUGAGUCCUAUAUGCUUUAUAUAGCAUGUUCAUAAUAUUCUUCUACCUUUUUUUAUUUUAAUUUGGUUGCUGAAGUAUUUUGCCAAAUGUUCAAUGUUCACUGAUUUUGGCAAACUAGUGUAGGAACCCGCGCAAUGCGACGGAUAUAAUUAUAUUUAAUUAAAUUUAAUAAUAUAAAAAAUAUUUUAAAAUUUUUAGAAUAAAAUUAUAAUUUAAUGAAAAACAACGAAAGAUAAAAAAAAAUUAUAGGAGAAAAAAAUUUAUUACAUAGAAAUCUGACCCCUUUGUAUCCUCAUUUAGGGCAUUCUCUACUAACAGCGACGAUUUCGUAAAGUAUCACAGCGCCCUCAACCACUUUUCGGCAAGUCCAUAUCUUAGCCGAUACUUUGCGUCCUCCGAGACAUUAGAGGAGAGAUACACACCCUUUGUAUAACUAUACAUUACAAAUUUAAGUGGUCGAGAUCGAGAGAGGAAGGUUCGAGGCUAGGGUUAGAGUUCGACUCACUCGACGUUGACGGCAAGAGUGAGGGCGGCACGCCGGCGGGGCUUGAGAUUGGAGCGGAUGUAGUAGGCGAGGUCGUUGUCGAGGACGCUAUAUGGCUUCUCGGGCAACGCCUCUUAAAAAAUAAAAACUAAUGAGGGGGAAGUCGAAGCAGUGACGUUAUAGAGAAGGAAUUAAUGAGAUGGGAAGCCGGAGAGACAUACGUUACAGAAAAUGAAUUAAUAAGACAGGAAGCCGAAGAGGCAGACGUUACAGGGAAUGAAUUAAUAAGACGGAAAGCCGAAGAGGCAGACGUUACAUGGAAGCAAUGAUUGGAGAGUAGAAAUUUUGGAGUGAAAAGGAGGGGCGAAGGAGAAAUUGCCACGUGGCAAACUCCAAGAAAAAUAAUGUAUAGGUAUAUAGAGGUAUAGAUUCUGACAAAGAGGCAAUAAAGUAUGAAUAAUCUGUAAAUGGUUGGAGCAUUUUCAAGAACUUUAUUCAAUAUUCAUUGGCAACUGCAUUUUAAAUUUGGAGAAUUAAGGGAUAUUAUAACCAUUGUGUAUAUAUAUGCUACUUUGUUGUUUUUUUUUUUUGUAAAUUUUUCUUUCGUCGAUCAUACUAUUCUCUAAUUUUCUUUGUGAAUCAACUGAGGUUUCUGGAAAAUUUCAUCACAUAUUCCAAUGCCUUUUGAACUAAAUUACUGAUCUUGCUUUUUAGCCUUUUGAACUAAAUUACUGAUCUUGCUUUUUAUGAAGUAUGGCGUGACGCGUUUGGAAGUAGAUGUUGAUGGUUCGCUGUCGUACCCCGAACCUGUUCUCGACCAAAAAGAUAAUGGUAAUUCUCUUCUCUCAUUCCUUCCUCAAGAAAUUAUUUGGUUAUGUAAAAUUCGAUUCUUAUAUUUUAUCUAUAUUGUGCUUUAGUAAUCAUCUGAUUUGAGUGUUUCUUAUUGAGCUCUAUUAUCACCAUUUCUACUGAAAUGUAGUCGAACUGGUAUUGACCUAUCGUAAUUUACUUAGCUGAACGGCAUUCCUCUGCAAAACCUCUUAACUGUGAAGAGGAGCACCUUAUGCGGGUAUUUUAUGAACAAAAGAUCCAAGAGGUUUGUGCGGCAUUCAAGUUCCCUCAUAAAAUACAGGUAAAGUAGAUUGCUUUCGUUAUCCUUUCUCUUCCUUCUUUUUCAAGGUGGAAAAUUUACGUUGAUGUUUCUUUCCUUACAGGCAACGGCAAUAUUAUACUUUAAAAGGUUUUAUUUACAAUGGUCUGUGAUGGAACAUCAUCCGAAGCAUAUAAUGUAAGUUUUGGUGUUGAUUAAAAGAUUUGGUGGUUAUGAUGUUCAUAUAUGAUUACAACUGGAUACUUGAUGUAAAUGUUCCAUGUGCUUCAUUUCCUGAAAUGGAAUUUGACAAUGAAAAUGUGAAGGUCGUUAAAUACUUAGAAAGUGUAUAUUUUAAUUUAAUUAUUUUUUUAUCCUUCAAGUUUAAGUACUUUCUCAAUCCAUGCUUUUGUGUCUUUAUAGGCUAACUUGCGUAUAUACUUCGUGUAAAGUAGAAGAAAAUCACGUUUCUGCUGAGGAACUCGGUAAGGGGAUUCAGCAGGACCAUCAGAUGAUUCUCAAUAAUGAGAUGAUUGUUCUUCAGGUUUCUCUCCUUUUUGUUCCGUCUCCGCUUCUUAGAGUUCUUUAUUCUUUUGAUAUCCCAACAAACUGUUCCCUUGCUGUAAAGGUUCUCAUUUAAUUACAGAGUUUAGGGUUCGAUCUAAUUGUUUAUGCUCCGUACCGAUCCGUCAAAGGCUUUAUUGAGGAUAUAGAGGUGAUUCCUUUCAAUUUCAUACUCUAACUAGCACCUUGUUAGAUAUUAGUGUUCUAAUGCUCUCUCUCUCUCUCUCUCUCUCUCUCUCUCUCUCUUGUGUCUGUGUGUGUUUUCUUGAGGAAAGUUCAAAUUUAUCCUUGCGUAUGAUCAAAUUUGGCUAACUUCAUAUUUUGGUUGUCAAGGAGUUCUGCCAAGCAAGAAAUGGUGAACAAGAAAAGUUCAAGGUACGUGAUGCAUUUAUUUCGGUGUCCCGACCACUUCCUUGCCUAAUUAGAUGAAUUUGGAUAUAUUUGGUGUAUGUAAUCUGAUAAAGUCUACUCUGUGCAUAUCUUUUCUUUUCUUUUUUUAAUUUUCGAAAUCAAGCCUCUGCAUUUCCUCUCGAGUAUAAGACUAGAAAAGAGAAAUAAAAUGUGUACACGAGAGUGUGUAGUUUCAUUAAAAAACGUGAAUUCCAAACUGGAGCUUUGAUUUUCCAUUGAUGCUUUUGUUCGAGCCUUCUGCAGAAUUGGCAAAAGUUCAUGCACAACUGAUUAAAUCCUAUUGAGACUAUGAAAGAAUAUUUACAAUAUCAACUCCUCUACCAUCAGGAAAGAAGUCUAAUUCCACGAUUCUUAGAAACUACAAAAUUCUGUAGCAUGCAUCUAUGGUUCAAUAGAUUUUCCAAAUAUUCUCAUGUGCAAGUUUUACAUGAAACUUAAGACUAUUAAAUAUGUGCUAUAAUUGUCUAACAUACAUUUAUUGAUUUUUAAUUUCAAUUAUUUGUUAUAGGAUUUGCGAGAAACUGCCUUGUUGGAGGUAGACAAGAUGAUGUUGACUGACGCACCUCUUCUCUACACUCCUGGACAAGUAAUUUCCUCUAUCAAUGUUUGCACUGUACUUUUUUAUCUCCAAAGCUCAGUUUGUACAUUUGCGCUACAUAAGUUUUAUCUCCAAGGUUCGAUUUGUAUUGUUCAGUGUAAACUAUUGAUAUUCUAGAAGUCUCGCUUCUCUGAUCCGAACUGUUUUUUAAGCCUUCUUUUAACAAAUCGUAAGUAGACUUAUAGGCUCUUAUGAAAUUGCUAUGACUGUUUAAUGCGAUAUUGUUGUAUCUUUAUUCUUGUUUUCCUUAUUUGGUGUCAUUCUGUUUACUUGUGCAGUUAGCAUUGGCAGGUUUGCGUAGAUCAAAUGCAGUUCACAGAGUUCUCGAUUUUGAAGGGUUUUGAAACUUUCCUUUAUCAUAGUAUUGAAAUUUUAAUCUGUCGUCUUCAUGAAAUUGAAAAUUUGUUUCAGCUUGUUUUUUUUUUUUUUUUUGCAUGUUACAUGAUCUCUAUAAAUAUCUACAGAUACUUGCAUAAUUUAUUCUCACGGCAACGAACCGCUUACUCUGUCUCGCAGCUUGGUGAGUUGAUGGGAACCAUCGAUUCCUUGGUAAGACUUAUAUUAUGUCUUGUACCAAGUAUUUUGAUGGUCUUUUUCAUUAGUGAUAAGUUCCGAAAUUUCUCAAUUUGGAUCUUUGAUUUCCAUGGAAAUUUAUUGGUAUGCGGAGAUAAGCAGACAUUUUGCUUCACUUAGGCAAGAAUAAUUUACUAAGAUGAGAGAAUCUGUUUUAUAUGGUAUCUACCUUUUUUCGCAGUGGCAUUUCUCAUUCAUUUGCGGUAGUCGGAUUAGUUUCUUAAGUUUUGAAGAACGUGGAUUCGCUAGAUAUAGACGAUAAGCACUCUCUUCGAUUGAUUUAUAAUGAAAAAUAAAUAAAUAAAUUUCUGUUUACUGCCACAGGUUGAGCAACUGAAAAUACCGACAGCGAAGGACAUGAGGCAUAUCGACCGGAAAUUGAAGAGCUGCUGGGAUCCGAGCGCGCAAGACGAGUAAUUUUUUUUUUCUGUGAGUUUCUUCAUUUACUUCCCAGUCGUGUUAUUUUAUUCUUUUCGUCGGCAAUUUUUCUCCAGGAACAAGAAAAGAGAGAAGAGAUCAAAGCACAAAUCCAAAAGGGCCGCGAGCGAGAUGCAAGGACCAGUUCCUGAAGUGUAACUUCUUAUUUUUGUAUACUAACUUAUGAGCACCUGAUUCUAUUUUGUGUGGCAUUGAGGACUCUGCCUGGUAAAUUUGCUCUCCUGAAAUUUGGAUAAAACUUAAACCCGAAUCUCAGAAUUCUGGUAAUGCUAUUUGGCGGUAGAAAAUGAUGUGUCUAAGUAAGGCGCUUUUGUUUUGUUUUUUUUUGUUUUUUUGUUUUUUUUCCGAGUUUGUUGUAUCAUGUAGAUAUUUACUUUUGAGUAAUGUGAUUCAAAAAGUGGAUUUUUACUUUGUAGUGGAUGUUCGAAAAGUUAUACUUAUAUUUUUAUUUCAAUAAAAAAAAAUCUAUGGCAAAUAGGGUACUAAAGUAAAAUUUUAAAAAAAUGAGGUGCACUAUCCUGAUUAACAAUAGAUAUUUAGGGCUUGUUUGAUUCAUCCAUUUUGGAUAUGGAAUGAGAAUCGGUUUGAUCAAAUCCGGUUAAUUUUGUUUGGUUCGUAUGAAUCGGUUUGGGAUUCUUAUUCCGGACUGGAAUGGGAAUGACUCAUUAGCCUUCAACUUGAUUCCGGUCUUCUAGCCCGCGGAUUGAGAUUUCAUUUCGGAAGCCCACUAAGUUCUCGAAGCCCACGUGACCAUCUCACCCUUCUUCUCUUCACCCCUUUCUCAUCAAAAAAAAAAAAAAAAAUCUAUCCUCUCUCAAAACCCUAUCCUUAACCCACGUUAAUAAAAGUUUUUAAAAAUAAAUUUGAUAUUUUUUUUAGAAAACUUAUUAGAGAAUAGUAUUAUUUUUUUCAUAAAUUUUAAAUAAUAUAAAUUUAUAUUUGAAAGUAAAAUUAGUAUUAUAGUAUUCUAUAUAUUUUUUAGUUUAUACGAACCAAACAAUGAAAUGUGAAUAUAAACCAAACAUCUUUGGGGGUGGGCUAUUUUAAUUACCAUUUCAAUUCAUUCCCAUUCCAUUAUCCAUUCCAAUUCCACCCUUGAACAAAACAAGCCCUUAUAGUGAAAUGAAAAUAAAAUAAAUAAACAAUUAAAGCGUAACUUUUUGAACCACAGGUGGACGACAUAAAAAUGCAUUAUACCGCAGAUAGUUAAGUUUAACUUUUUAAAUUACGGGCGGCAAAGUGAGCUAUAACACAAAAGGGUGCAAAUUAUAGCUAACCCGUUUUCUCUUUGGUGGAAUAAGAAGGAUAAUUGUGGAUGAUUUUAGUUUUCUCAUUGUUGUUCCUCAACAAAAUGCACAUGCAGAUAGCUGUUAUCAACCCUAGCCUAUUGUUGAAAACAAUGAGCAAUAAUUUAUAAUUACACACAUACAAAAAAAUAAAAAAAGUUUCAGUUUUCUUACAAUUUAAUCUAACAAUCUUUCUAUUUACAGAACCUACAUUUAAAAGCAGUUAGAAACUAUUAUGCAGCUCUUCAACAUAAUCAGCAGCCUCAAUAGCCAUGUACUCUUCAUCCCGAAACCGGCACAAGAACUGAGCCAGCCGGUAAGCAUCCUCGAAGGCUGAAAUCGGGCCGAGCGAGAGCCGGACCGCUUCGAGAUUCGAACUGGGGGGAUCGAGAUUCGCGCCGUCAGCUCUUUUCUCGGGUUUCUGAUGCAAGAUGCUGGACAGAUUGGGAUCAGAUAGAGUGCAGAUGCCCAAGAAUAUGUUGUUCCGCACCGCUAGCUUCUGAACGAGUCUCGCUGGGAGUAUGUUUCCGGUCGGAUCGAGCACAUUGAACGCCAGUAUCGAGCCCCUGUGUUUUCGGUCCGUCGAUCCAUAUAACUAAGCAAUGAGGACAUUUUUCUAUCAAUUAGUAAUGAUCACAUAGUUCUCUGUAAGCAUGGAAGAACAUGCAGAUGUACAGGUGAAAAGUAGUGUAACUUUUACAGAUUGAAGAAAGAGCAACAAACCUGCAAUAAGGGCUUCUCGCCCGACAUGUGCUUCAAUGACUUCAGACUCUUAACCAGCCAUGAAAUCAAGCUCUCGCCCCGCUUCUGAAUGGCCUCGAUUCCAAUGCUCUCCAAAUGCUCGAAUCCAAAUCUCAAUGCUGCGAAUAUAUGGGUACUCACAUUCUCACCUUCCUUUACGACAUGCACACUCUCUCCAUCAUCAGAGGUUCUUGCUGCUUUCAAUCGCACCGAUCCCUUCUCACGGCUUACGGAAUAAGCACUUUUUCUCACUAGCAAGAAGCCAACACCUGAAGGGUACCCAAGUAUGUGGUGCGUGGAGCCAAUCACAAACUCUGGCUGAUACAAGGAGAGAUCUACUCUUACCACAGGGAGACAACUCGAAACAUCCAAAAGAACCUCCCAGUUAUGUUGCUGCGCACCCACGAUCCAGCUGAGUGGAUGGCAUAUCCCGGAUGAGAACGACUGAGCUGGGUAUAUCAAAAGCCCGCAUCGGCGGCCGUUCUGACCUUGUUUUCGUAUUAUCUUGUGCAUAUCUUGCUCGUGGAUGAGUAGGUCCUUGUUUCUUAGAGGAACUGCACCUACUUUUGCAUUGGAUUGCAUCGCAGAUUUGAUCACAUAACGGAUAGCGUGUUGGUUAUCGCGACUAGCAAGAAGAACAGAGCCUCUUUGAAAAUGGUAGAUCUCGGAAAUGAGGUGGUAGGAGGCGGAAAGGCAAGGAGUGAAGAUCACCGAGUAAUCAGUUUGGGUUGUGUUUAGAAGGUCGAGAAUAUAUUGGGCUGUCGAAUUAACAUACUUAUCCUGCUGUGGAUUUGAUGUUUCAGAGGUAUAGAUUGAACCUAGGAAUGCAUUCGUCUCCUCGAGUAGGAACCUCAUGUGUUGUUCCACCUGGAAAUUUAGGGACAAAUAAUUUAGCAAUGCACAACCAAAAACUCACAAAAAAACAAAAAGAAAGAAAAUGCAUGGCAGCGAUUUCCACUUAAUUUUUUCUUAUUACUUCACUCAAGAAGAAGGUGCCAAUUAUCGGUCUUCUAUGUCGUAGUUAUGGAGAAAGAAGAAAAGAAAACAAAGAAAACAGUGAUAAUACAGAGCAAAGGUUCCACUAUGAUCAAAAACCCUAGCAAUCACCAUGAAAAUCCUAAUAACUGUGAAGGGAUGAAAUUACCCACAUCCACAAGUAACAAAUUCGAACCAGAUUACAAAAUUUCAAGUCCGUAACGCCGAAGUUCUCUGCUACCACCAUAGAAUUCCAAAAAAAGAAAAGAAAUGCCCUUUUCUUUUUUUCUCUCCAAAUUUUCCAGGUCACGAAAUGAAGAGGUUCAAACCCAAGAAUUCGAGACAUAACUAGUAGAGGCUUUGUUCAUAGUAUGUUGUCCAUGCGAGAAACAAUUAAUACUUCCAAAAAGGAAGUUCAAGGAAACUUUUCAAAAGUUCCUUUAUAUAUCAGUCUACUAUCUGAAAGGAUCAUUACCUGAAAUCGCGAGUACAGCGGGGAAGAUGCAUAAUCCAGGUAGAUAAUUCUCUGAAGAUCAAGCUUGGGGUAUUCGGCCCUUCGCACAUUAUUCACCGACAAGUGUAAGAAGUAACCUUCGUGGUCUUCCAAGAACUGUUCUUCAGCGUCCUCGUAAGAGAGUAAUGAAGAAGGGCCAAUAUCGAUGUCCUCAGAUAGAGCAGAAGAAGAGGCAGUCGGUGUUUCGCCACCAUCAUAAUUAGAAUAUUUCCCGAACGAGCUUUGGCUCGAUCUUUCAUCCAAUGCACGAGUCGCUAUAGGUGAAUUGUAGAAGGCCGGUGAUACAGGAGAGGAGUGAUAAGAUAAUUUAUCAGACAGUGAGGAUUUGGAUGAAAAAUCGGAUCCUUCUGACUUCGAACUGACGAACUCAUUUUUGGUUUGAAUUUGCUCCGAACCAAAUCUCUUAAAUUGCUUUCCCUUCUGCAAUAAGUGGAUAAUACCUUUCCUUACUCAAAAAGAUCUAUAAUUAGCAAAAGAAAAUAUUCUCAUGCAUUACACUGUUAACGUAACCAUUAACGAUAAGAAGCAUCAAAGCUCAAAAUGUUAGCGUCAAUGAUACAUAACGAUACGCAUUACUGGUUAAGCAAAAGGGGGUGUCUUGCGCUCUUGCUUUACGAGGAAAUCAUUUGCAUAAGAUCGAAAAAGUUUCUGCCAUGUAUUCUAUAUCAUACAGAGAAAUCAACACACCAAAACAAGCAAAUAAAACGAGGCUCGAAUAACUCUUGCUUCAGAGGUCGAGAUCCUGGACUAUGCCUAAAUGAUUUGAUCGGUUAACAAGUUAAUGGCAGUAACAGGAAAGCUGAACAUUACAAGGAUAUAGUUCUAAAUAUGAAUUACGGGCGACUUACUGUAAAUCCCUUCAAAGUAGUGGAGUUGUGGAGUGACACCUCGAAAGUACUAAUUAUAAAAAAUAUCCCUCUAAAUUUUCAUAAUCUGCAAGUUUAUCACUCUCCGCGCCAGUUGAUAGAUUAAAAGUUAACUUUUUCCCCGAAAAUAACCAUUCUACAAUUGAAAAUACAAUUCUUCGCAUACUCUUACCAUCAUUUUCAAUUCUAGUGUCUCUGUUCUAUCUCUCAUGGUUUUUUAGCAAAUCCUAAAUUUUAAACCAUUAAAGAAAUCUCAAAAAGGUGAAUUUUUGUAACAGAAUUCAACCGGUUGGGACAAAUAUAAACAAUUUAAAACUUACUUUUCUAAACUUGAAACAAGAAAUGGAAAAUAAUUGGUAAGGUAAAAGUGUUUGAAGAUGCCAAAAAAUGAUUUUUUAAUUGACACAAAACCCCUUCAGCUUUCAAUUUUUAUUAUUUUGAUUUUAAUCGUUUGCAUUAAAUAACUUGGAAAUUUUACUGAAUUUAAUGGUGACUCAGCAAGACUCAAUGGCUUAACAAGAACUCUUCAGCUGAUAAAAUAUUGAUUUGAUCAUUUUAACAAAAACUCCAUUCAAAUGACUAAAAUAAACUAAAUCAAGAUAAGCAAAAAUCAAAGUUGACUCGUUUUUUUAAAACUCGAUAACAGUUGAGGGGUUCUCCAAACAUUAUCACCAAUUCGAAAACAUUCACAGAUGAAACAAAAUGUAAUAAUAUCAUUUAGUAGCAUCAAUAUAAUUGCUAAAUAACAUGAAACUACCACAUCUGGACUCGAAACUUUCUGAUAGAUUUAUGAUGCAAAAUAAAUUAAAUGAGAGAAAAUUAAACUCUUACUUUUAUACCGUGUUAAAGAACAUAUAACAACCGGGGUGUUCUCUAAAGCUCAAGCAAUCAUAGAACUUAGAACAAUGUUUUCGAUACUUGUAUUCAACAAAUAAUCACUACUAAGAGAGAGAACGCCGUAGAGAAAGAGAGAUUGGUGUAUAGGGUUAGAGAAAUCGCGGCGACUCAC
rnacentral:lncRNA from 1 species